rnacentral:lncRNA from 1 species
AUCAUGACUUCUUUUCUUUAUUUAGAAAAACUAUAACUUCAUAGUUUUUUUUUUUUUUUUUUUAAAUUUACGUUAAAUAUGUAUAGAUUUUGUGUGAGAUAGUUUUUUGGUGAAAUUGAUCUUUUGUUUUAUUUAUUCAAAUUUGAUAAGUAUAUAUUUUUUUUUUAUAUUUUGGGCACAGGCCCACACACUAGUAAGUUAGAACAAGAAUGAUUUAUAGAAGUUCUCUUGGGUUUUGAUGAUAACAAAGUAUUGAAGAACAAUUGCAAUACUAACAUAUGUUCAAGUGUGCAGGAUCUACUUAUCAUGAAGAAAGAACAUAUGAAGAGCAUCAGAAGGGGAUUGAGAAGAUUAGAAGACUAUGGUGGAAAAUCUACUGGAAGGGUCAACCAUAAGUCAACGUCCUUAGAAGAAGGAUGCCUAACAGGAGUUAGAGAGUAAUCUCAACAGAUUUGUGAAGGACAUCAGACACAAAAUAUGACUGGCUAAGGGAGCCAGAAUCCACAUAAGCUUUUGUUUUAUUCUGUGAAUUGUGUCUAUCAUAGUAUCUGAUAGAGCAGUUCUUUUGUCUUCUUCUGUCUACGUGUACAACCAGAAAAGGGACAUAAGGAACGAAAAGAGCAACAUCUAAUUUUUCUUUCAACAAAGGAAAUUCAAAGGACGUUCCAACAUGAUUAUCCAUAUCAGACAAACGACCAACAUUCUUGAUCAAAGUUUCUUAACGACACUCUUUGUGCUGACACUCUUCUCCAACAGCUCUCAAAUCAUUGCAUAUAAAAGGAGUUGAAGAUAUGAGAAAGAAAAAGAACAAUACUCAUCUAUUUUUCUGUGGCAAAACUCUGUCAAAUCAAACAGCGUAAAACAAUUAGCAUUGAUUUUCAAAUUUUAUAUCUUAGAAAUUAUAAGGAAUGAUUCUGUUCAUAUGUUCAGUUUACAAUAAUUUGUUAGAAAUAGUGUAAGAACAAAUUAACUUGUUUGCAAUUGGGGAAAGCAUAUUAGAAAUUCUCUUACGUGCGUGCUUGAUCAUAUAAGUCUCUUGGUGAAACCUUAAGCACCUAGGAAGUCUCAAUAAGUUGUGAUUGAGCAGGGUAAAGUCUUAAGUAGUUGUGCUUAACCAAAGGAAGUCUCUUGCAGGUGUUCUUGAGCAGAAGUCUUUAGGUAGAGUCCUAGAGCAUAGAAGUCUCUUGCAUAUGUGCUUGAGCAUUGAGAACUCUCUUGGUGUGUCCUUGAGUAGGUUGUAAUCAAGAGUGAUUAUUAUAGUGAAAUCACAUGAAAGUGCUAGGGGACAUGGCUACUACUGUGUUGUGGAAGGAACCAGUAUAAAUUGUUUUGUGUAUGUCCUCUCUCUCUCUCUGACUUUUUAUCUUUUAUCUUUAGUGUUAUGUAUUCCACUGCAACAUCAGAUUCUGACCAGGUUUUAUAAACACUCAGAAAAAAAAUUCAUCAAAAGAACCACACAAUUCAACCGCCCUUCUUAUGAGUUUUUCUCACCUUCAUAGUAUAUCACAUUUUUAUGUCCUUUCUAUUAAAAUUGAUUUUCUUAAAAGCUAAUCCAAAAUAGAUAUUGUUAGCGGCCAACACUCGAGGGGAUUAAGUCCCAAAUCGGAUAGAUAGGAUUAUUGAGAAGAGUUUUAAAGAGGAGGCACUCCUCACCGUACAAGCCGAUUUUGUAAGGAUGAGUUAGGCCUUGACUUUCGUUACAUGGUAUCAGAGCCUAUCGGGUCCAUCGUAUGGCUUGCAUCGUCCACGCUUCAGACCCAUUAGGCCGGGCUGAAGCGUGAGCGAGUGUGUUAGCGGCCAACACUCGAAGGGAUUUAGUCCCAAAUCAGAUAGAUAGGAUUCUUGAGAAGAGUUUAUAAAGAGAAAGCACUCCUCACCGUACAAGACGAUUUUGUAAGGAUGAGUUAGACUUUGACUUUCGUUACAGAUAUUUUGUUUUCAACAUAAAAAUCAUUUUUCGAGAAAAUGAAUUUUUAUAUAGCCUACACAUAGACAUAUCUAAAAUAUAAAAAAUAAUUUUUUAAAUUAGAGUCUUAAUUAUUUUUUAUACAUAUUAUAAGCACUGAUAUAUUGACAACAAAAAAUCGACAGCUUACCCCUCAUUGUAGUUCUCCAUGAAGCAAUUUCAGGCUGGCACGCACCCAAUAUAAUAAUGUUCAAAGUUUAUUUUGAUCGACAUUUAAUGUCGUCUUUUAUUUUUGACCAACAUUCAAAUUUUUUGAAGUUGCCUAUUUUAUUCUUUUUUAUUUUGACGAACAUUCAAUGUUUAUUUUUUUUAUUACGUCUUUAAAAAUUUCCUACUAGGUCUACUUGAUCGCCUUGAUCUAGUCUUCUCGCCCCAUCUUAUAUUAAUGUUCCCUCUUGUCCAUUUAUCUAUACUUUUAUUCCACAUUUUAUGAUAGAGGAAGAAGACAUUGCUUGUCUGGUGUUGUUUCUCUCAAUAUGGUGGUAAAAAACUCAAACCAAGUAGAAAAAUCCACUAAUUCCACUUAUGAUAGAUACAAUGAAGUGAAAGCUUUUGAUGAUUCAAAAGCUGGUGUGAGAGGUUUGGUGGAGUCCGGAGUGUCGAAGAUCCCACAGAUGUUCCAUAAUGAGAUGUUGGACAUUGCUACAAAGUCAAUUUGUGACUCUAAGUUGAAUAUUCCCAUCAUUGACCUCAAAGGUAUAGACAUCAAUCCAACUCUGCGUGAAGAGGUAAUUGGCAAAAUUCGAAGUGCAUGUCAUGAGUGGGGAUUUUUUCAGGUGAUUAAUCAUGAAAUUCCCAUCAAUGUAUUGGAUGAGAUGAUUCAUGGAAUCCGUAACUUUCAUGAACAAGAUGUUAAUGUUAGAAAAGAGUUUUAUACGCGUGAUUUAAGGGAAAAAGUUGUGUAUUUCUCCAAUACAACCUUAUUUACUAGUCAAGCUGCUGAUUGGAGAGAUACAGUUGGAUUCGUUGUUGCUCCUGAUCCAUUCAAACCAGAAGAAAUACCACCAAUAUGCAGGUAAUGUACUAAGUCUUAAUUAUGAUUCUAACCCUGCAUUUCAUAACAAACAUUCAUUCUAGUUCCAAAGGUUGAUUUAUUAUGUACUCACUUCCAUUUUUAUCUUGAUGUUUAAGGUUAAUGCACACAUAUUAGAAAAAAUAAAUAAAUUAAGACUCACUUUUGACCUAAUUAUAAGACCCAUUUCUUUAUGAAAAUACUCUUAUUUAUAAUUGAGAAAUGUAAAUUUGUUUUGAUUUUCAUGAUAUCAUUAAUUUUAGGGGUGAUUAAGAAAAGUAACACACAAUUAUUACAUAUUUAUUGCUAUAUCUACUAUUUUAAUAUCCAUGAAUGAAUUCUCUUAAAGAGUCUUAUAAUAAGGGUCAUAUGCAGGAAACAUAUAUUUAGACUAAAUGAACUUUAUUUUCGUAAUAUUUGUCAUUAAUUGCAUUAUACAGUUAUGAGUAUCUCACCCAAUUGAAAGAUUAGUUGGGAAAAAAGUGAUCAAACAUUGGAUUUAUAAAAUAUCAAAAAUUUUGAAAUAAAAGUACUACCUCCGUCCCUAAAUAUAGGAGUCUUUUGCCAAAAUUACGGAGAUUAAGAAAGUUAGUUGUAGUAUUAAAUUUGUAUAUAAUUACUAUUGUUUUUACAAUUUUAUCCUUAAGAGAGAGAGAGUUAAUUUAUGUUUUCAACAUAAUAUUUAUUGUUGAUUGAAGAAAAAGAUGCAAAAUAAAUAAGGGUAUGUUAGUAAAGAAAUAAUUAAUGUACUUGGAAAUACCAAAGGGGUCUUAUAAAAAAGGACAAAUUUUUUUCUCAAAAGGAUCUUAUAAUUAGGGACGGAGGUAGUAAAACAUACAUGCAUGCAUAUAUACAUAUACAUACAUAUAUAUAUAUAUAUAUAUAUAUAUAUAUAUAUAUAUAUAUUUCACUAUUAUUACAUUACAUGACAUAAGAUCAUGAUAUGAUUCAUUUAUAAUUUAUAUCAUUUGAAUUGAUUUAACCAUGGUUGAGUUGACUACAUACUUGCAGAGAUAUUGUGAUUGAAUAUUCACAGAAAAUAAGUGAUUUAGGUUUCAGAAUCUUUGAGUUGUUGUCAGAGGCAGUAGGACUUGAUCCUUCUUACUUAAAAGAGUUGAAGUGUGCUGAAGGAAUCUAUAUUAUGGGUCACUACUUUCCGCCAUGCCCUGAACCUGAAUUAACUAUGGGUGUUGGAAAACAUACUGAUGGUAACUUCAUGACCUUACUUUUACAGGACCAAAUUGGUGGUCUUGAAGUUCUUCAUGAGAAUAGUUGGGUUAAGGUUCCUCCAACACACGGAGCUCUUGUUGUAAACGUAGGAGAUCUACUUCAGGUAAAUAUUUAAAUCCAAAGUAUAAAGUAGUCUAAACUUUUGUUUUAGGUUUAUCAACAAUUUUUUUAAUAUCAAUGAAACUUUUAUGAUCUAUUAAAAAAAUGAAACAUUAUUCAUGAUUUGUUAGACUAAUCUUGUAACUCGUUUUUAUGUUUUUCUGUAACGAAUAAAGUUUAUCCUUUCUUGAACCAAUACCAGAUUUAUUUAUGUAAGACCCUUAAUUUUAUUAAGGCAUCAUCAAACUUUCCUUUAAUCAAUGUUUUAUUUUGAUUAAAGCUCUUAAGUAUAUAAAAACUAAAUUAGAAGUGGAGAAAGUAUACCAUGAUGUGGAAAGGUUGACCUAAAUGAUCAAAUAUGUUAAAUAUUUUAUAAGAUUUACCACUAUACUCAAAUAUUAUAUUUCCAAGCUAUGACUUUGAUUAGUUCAAAUAAUCUAAUUCCACCACUCUUUUCUAGCUUUGGUUAUUAAAAAACCAAUUGAUUAGGGUUUUUUGUGUGGAUAAGAGACAAUAGCUUAUUCCAUAUAUGUUGUUGAUGAAUUGAGUGCAGGAUUCUCAAUAUUAAUCACAUGUCAUUUUUAAACAUUAUUUCAUCAUGUGUAAUUGUGUAUCAAAAAAUUGUGCACUCUUAAAAUGUGAUUAUAGUGAUUUGAAAUUGUGGGCUAGAAAUAAUUUCUAUAAACAAAGUCAUUGACUGUUUCCUAGUUUAAAGUUUGUGUUAACAAUUUUAUCAUUUUUGUAUACUCUUGCAGCUUAUCACAAAUGACAAGUUUGUAAGUGUUCAUCACCGAGUCUUAUCACCAAACAUAGGCCCAAGAAUUUCUGUAGCAACAUUCUUUCUGAGUUCUCGUGACCCAAUUGAAGGUGCAUCAAAAGUUUUUGGUCCUAUUAAGGAGCUGAUUUCAGAAGCAAACCCACCAAUCUACAAAGACAUUACAAUACAAGAUUUCUUAUCAUAUUUUCAUGCAAAAGGCCUUGAUGGGAGUUCUUCCUUAGAGCCUUUCAAGUUGUGAAUUCAACAUAUGAAUGCGCUUUUGAUACUCGUGGAACUUUCUAUAGUCUAUUUUAAAUAAGAAGUCAUGUCUUCAACAAUAAGUAUGUUCUGUAUGUAUCAAGUUUCUGAGAUUGAAAUAAAUGAAUUAUCUAUGAUUGUUGGCAUUAUAUUUUCUUAAAUAAAGUGAAUGAACUACAAACUUUAAACCAAUAACUUCUAAAUAAAAGGAAGUGUCGAUAUAGUUUUACAUAUAUGACAAGGUAAGAUAAUGGGUAUCCCUAAUUUUCUCAUAGGAAUGAUUUUAUAUAGAAAUUAGGAACCUCCUUGUGAUAAAAUAUGGGACUGGAUGGAGACAGAUCGGGAGAAGUUGUUGAUUGUAAAUGAGAAAUAAAAUAUAAUGUUGGUUUCCAUUCCAGGGUGCUAGUACAAUAUUGAUUGUCUAGUAUUGUUCAAUUCCCCUUAGAAAUACUCUGUUUAAAAUUAAAACUUAAGGAUGAUAAGAAAUAUUAGACAACUAAUUCACUUUAUUUAACUAUAUGGAAGUCUUGCUCGUAUUGGUAAAGUGAGGGGACAAACCUAUGCAACUAAUUCACUUUAAUUGUGCACUCUUAAAAUGUGAUUAUAGUGAUAAGAAAUAUUAGACAACUAAUUCACUUUAUUUAACUAAUAAUAAAAUUACAACUUGAUCCUUAUUUUUCAUUCCCAGCGUGCACCAUUACCUCUCUUUUUUUCCCCUUCAUUUCUUCUUGUUCCAACCUGCUCCAAUAAGCUAACUUAUAUUUCUUCAUCUUCAUAUUUGAUACUUCUACUAAUAUUUGAACCAAGAUUUCUAUUGUUAUUUCUUGUUAUUUAUGAACCCAUAUUUCUUCUUCUUUUUCCAAAUUAAUUGUGACGUUUCUUCUUUUUUUCCCAUCUUAUUCAUGUUUGAUGCUUUUCUUCUAAUUUAUGAACCCUCUAUUAUGGGUGGUUAGUGCUAGCUUUACCAAUAAAAUUUUGCUUGUAGUGGAUUUCAAUUAGCUUGUAACAGACAUGGAACAGAUAUCAGUGUGAUAUUGCUCAUGUUGUUACUGUUUUUGAGUAGCUUUGUAUACAAAGGAUUCACGUCAGUGAAGACUAUUGAUUUUUUUUUAAUGAAAUUGCAUGUGUUACUGCUACUCACAAAUGAUGCUAAAAUAACAACAUAUUGAUUGGAUUGAGUAGAGAAUUCAACUUCUUUUUAAUAUAAGGGUAAAAUUGAAAUAAAAAAGUUAUAACUCGUUCCGUUAACUUUCCAAACAAUGGAAUGGAAAACUAGUUCCGUUCCAUCAUAAAGUAUCCAAACAAUGGAAUGGAAUCUUUAUUCCAUUCCAUUCCGUUCCGUUCCGUUUCGUUCCGUUGAUUUUCACUUAUCCAAACAGAGCCUAAGUUUUUUUCUAGGUUCAUGGAAGAUGGAUUAAGAUGAUGAAGAAGAUGGACACAAGUGAGAAAAAUAUUAGGUGUCAUAGGCACACAGUAAAAUACAAUAGACUCUACAUGAUCCAACAAUCCUCUUUUAAACAAAAAAUCAAAGGGUUACAAUUAAAUUUUUUACUAAGGUCCAUGGUGGAUCACCUUGAAAUAUGGUUCACCUUAGAGAUUUGCUGUUAAAAAUUAACAGAAAGGAUCACCUGGGUAAACGGAGGUAUAUUUAUGGGACCAAAUUGAGACACUUUAUAGUUAAGGGACCAAAAUGAAAUCCAAAAAUAAGUUAAGGGACCAAAGCAUAAGCAUGUAUUAAGUCUUUCAUCAAUUGUAAGACAACAUAAACUAUUAAAAUGAUGAGAUGAAUUUUGGUAACCUUGACAAAUUAGAAGUAAUCAUAGUUGGACUAAUAAUGGUCAAAAUAAAGCAACGUGUAACACCUCAAUUUUUAAUAGUGCAACUGAUUUUUUUCUCUUCAAAACAUUACACCAUAGGCGGGAAUAUUCGAUGUCGUCCUUUAAAAAAAAAAAUAGAGUAAAUGGUUUCCAAAGCAAAACUUGAAUUUGAAAAAUUGAAAUGAUCUGAAAUAAACAUUAACGUGAUAUAACUGGAAAUAUAAAGAUGUCAUGCAUAUGCAUCAAAGUAAUGUAAAUGUCCAAAAGCUCAAAUAUAAAACAACCUUGUCAAAUGAAAUACUCGUUAUAUAAAAUUAGGAAUGUCUGCCUCACCCAACAUUGAACAUUGUUAACUGGUGUGGUGGUAAUAUUGCUUGAUUGAUACCUGGGGAUGGGGUGUCAGGGGUUCGAACACACGACCUUUUACACAUUGAAGAAUCGCAUAACCACUGCAACAACACGCAUUUGUUGAAAUAUUAAGCAUAAUAUGAAAUUUAUAUAAAAACUUGAGGGGGCAGUGGCACUUCCAAAGAGAUCCGCCCCUAUUUAGGUAUCAAACAAUUGUGUCUUGAAGUGUAGAACCUUUUUAUAGUUGAAAUCACAAAAUGAUUGUGAGAACUUCACGGUCGAUAACACCUCUACCCAGUCCAUGCGAAAAGAAUCCUCCAUCAACAGUGCUAGAUACGAAUGAACGAAAUCCGAGAGAUCAAAAACACAUGAUUUCUAAUGGCGCAUAGGGUUUUGAAACAAUGAUUUUGUGUUUUUGUGUGUCUAUGAAACAUAUCAGCCCAAUGGUUUUAUUUAUAGACCCACUAGAACUAAAUCCAACAAAAAAAUACACCUAAGGCACAAAAAUAUAGUAUGACUAUCAUUCUUCUGCUGCGCAAGAGGCUUUGUCAGUGGGUCAGCGACAUUGUCACGUGUUGGUAAUCUACAUAUCUUCACUUCCCAUGUAUCUAUCAACUCUUGAAUGUUGUGAUAGAAACUAAGUAUUUGUUUGAAUCAUUGGUUAGAUCUAGGCUCCUUUCUCAUAAACAGUCUGCAUGAUCUUGAUACAAAGGGCAUCCCCUUUGAUGAUCUGCAGUAAUGCUUUUGCCCCCCAGUGCCUCUGCAAAUGAUUUCUUUGGUGCUGUAACCUGCUGUUGCACUGGAACAGGUUCGCUUCUGUCUGCAACACAUGGCCAAGGGAAAACAAAAGUCAAGGCUGCAGCCGAGAAAAAACCCAAAUUGGUGUGCCAAAUCUGAUCUGCGAGGGAAACACGACAAAAACCAGAGAAUUUUGAGCCAGUUCCAUUUGUGAGGUAUAGUUUUGCAUAGGUUACAUCACCAAUCAUUUGAUUGAUGGUAUUGGUAGUAGUUGUAUUAGAAGUGAGACUCCUACUAUUGCAACUCUUCCUGGAUAGCUCUGUGGACCAGAAGUUGGCAUGGUCCUGAAAUAAAAAAUAUAACUCAUGACUUUAGGAGAGGGGUCUCCACAUUGAUAAUAGUAUAGUGUGCUUGGUUCCAAUCUUACAUAUACAGUGAAGACUAGUUUAAAAAACUAAAACAUGAAACUUUCAUACAAUGACAACCAGCCUUAUUAUGGUGGAAUUAGUUACAUGGAGGCUCUACUAACAUCUAAGUUACCUCAUAAAAUAAAAUAAACUGCAAAUCAGCAAUACCAAUGCAUGAUAAGUGUACAAAAGGUUAAUUAAAAGUGUUGACAGCAGUCGGGCAUUGGAAGACCAUACACCAGUGUUGAAGAGUAAUGACUAAACUUAUUUGGUAACAUAUUAAACAAACUACAUAGAUAAUAAAAUUAUAACGAUUUUCUCUAACAAACAAUUUGAUAUUCCUCUAAUAUUAUUAUACAACAAAGCAAAAUGAAUAAUACCGUUCCAUAAAAACUAUACAGAGUAUGAACUUGGGACAUGACACAUAUACAGUUACUAUUUUCCUUAUGAUGAUUCGACGUCAUGUCUCUAUGACUAGAACAAUGUGACUCAACUGGUGGCCACAUCAAUUCUAAGCAAUGUCAAGCGAAGGUAAUCUCUACGGUGAAUUAAAAACCAUAUAACUGUUACUGAAAAUUAGCCAAUUCAUAAAUAUUCGAGUUUGGAUCUUGCUCAAAACUGGAGAUACCUGUAAUGAAUUGAGACCCAAACGGAGUCAAGAGACAGCGAAAUCUGCUCCAGCUGGAAGCCGGUGACCUGCCACAAAAGCUGCUAACCCCUGGUGAUUGAGGCGGUCUCAUGUUAGCACCCUGCUGAGAAGGAAGAUAAUGCUGGUUCCCAACUGUCCUCUAUAAGGGAAAACUUGAGUCGAUGUUGGUUCAGCAGUCACACCAGUCUUCCCAACCGAUAAGCAUGCAUCCAUACCUGUAAUCCAUGCCAAGAACAAUAAGCAUUACACUAGAUCGAGUUUCUAAGCAAACAAGCACGAAAUCACAAUAAUGACAUCAAUUAUGGAAGAGAAAGAAAGGUACCUGAGCUGAGCAAGAACGUUUGGAUGGAUCCUUGAAAGAAAUUGACACCACUGAUUCUACCAUCUCCAUGUAAAUCUGCUCUUCUGAAGAUCGCGUGCCACGGAACCAACUCGAAGCAGUUAGGGAUUUAGAUUGUGGAAGAAGAAGAGAGGGGAAUGAUAAUUAUUGAAUUUAAGGGAUUUGAAAUAGUGAUUUAUAGUUUUCGAUUUUUACGAAGGACCUUCGAGAAUGUGUCAGUUGUUACUCAAAACGAAGAAUGAAUUAGAUUCAUAAAAACAAGUUUUCAGUUCCUAUUUUACGGUUGCGUUGGAAGAGAGAGAGUAAUUAAUACUUUUUUUUUUUUUUUUUUUUGAAUAAGAGAGUAAUUAAUACUAACUAGUCUAUUAAUACUAUAAUAUAAUAUAAUCCUAUUUUCUUUCAAUUUUUUACCUGCAUAUUACGCAUUGUUCAGUUUAUUAAAGGUUCUUUAAGCUAAAGACUCAAAUGACCUUGAGGUUAUAUUUCAAAACUCAAAUUUAGAUUCUGCAACUAUUUAAGAGCCAGGAAUGUCUUUGCUUGAUUAUGAAUAUGAUAUAUCAAGUGCAAAUCAAAGUUCUAUUCCAAGUGUAAUUAUAAUGUUAAGUUGUUAACAAUACAACAUUGAACAUCCCAGUAUAUGGCAAAUGAGCAUUAUUCAUAGCAUUAGAACCUAAAAUGAUAUAACAAAAUUUAAUUGAAGAAUAUGAGAAGCAAUAUCCGUAGGAGACGUAAGAGUGCUAUUACCAUCACGUAAAGAAAGGAUCUGCUUGGAAGAAGAUUUAAUCGAAGCCACGCGAUGAAUGUAAGAAGUAUUUCUAUCACCAUGAAUAAAAUUCUGAGUUCUAGCCUUUUGACACCAAAAUUGAUCUUGGAUAUAUAAAGCAUCAGAAAUGCCUGCCAUAUCAAUCAGAAGCUGUAUACAGUUAACCUCAUCAAUAGCAAGACGAACCUGCAUCAUAACAUCACCAAAAACUGACCUGUUCCAAUCUUUGAAAGCAUGUUUUAGCCGCUUCAAAUUCUUAUGAAGGCCAGCCAUGCCACAAUCAGAAACAGGUUGUCGCCAAACUUCUGUCACCAAACGACGACAGUCGUCAUGAGUUGUCCAUGAUUUAUAAAACUUAAAAGGAGUGACAUGAGGAACCGAAGCAAAUUCCUGAGUAAUAAGCAAAGGAUGAUGAUCAGAGUCGUCAUGGGAAACUUAAAAUGUUUGCCUUGACCGGCUUGGGUAAGCAUUUAAGCACUCGACCAUCAGUAUUUAUAGCACUGAUAAUGCAAAAUCAGUAUAUCAACUUGAUACUUACUGCAAAUAUGUAAAAUUGAACAUGCAAUAAACGGUUAUGUUUAUUAUUGUUCUUUCCCACUUCACGAUUUUUGUUUAUCUAAACAAACGGAUUUCAGCCUUAACAAAGUAAUUUGGAUUUAGUGGUUGUUGAUCUUCUUGAAAGAAGGCUAAAACAAUCCUAAGCUCAUAUUAGAAGAACAGAAUCUUCUAUACUCAUUAACAGAUCAGUAUAAUUAGCUAGGAUAGUUACUUAAUUAUAGCAAACAAAUAAGGAUGCAACUCCUAAGCAGAAACCCAAUAAGCAACCAUAAGCUGGUAGUCAUUUCCCUCCACUUCUUUCUUUCAUUUCACUACCUUGAAAUGCUCCAAGGUAGAGUUUCCGUCAAGUCCCUUUUUAAAAUGAUGCUCUAUCAACUCUUUUAUGGUUGUGUCCCUAUAAUGCGCCGGAUUUGUAUCUGAUAACAGCUCCUUAAUAGGGCCAUAGGACUUCGCUGAAUCUUCAGUUGUGUCACCGGAGUGUACAAAGAAGCUAGCCACCGAAAUUCUUGGCCCUUUCUUACUUGCUAAAACUCGGUGAAAGACGCUAACAAAGGCAUCGUUGGAAAUGAGCUGCAACAAUAUGAAUAAAAUAAGAAUAAAAUAGAGAUCACACCAGAACAUAAUAAAUAAAUAAAUAAAUAAAUAAGGAAUCCUUUGACAAUACAACUACUUUAAUUAAUCUUUGUUCAUGCUUCUACUGAAAAAUAAUAAAGAAGGAUGCAUUUUGUUUGAAUAUCGACACUUACCUGUAAGAGAUCCCCAAUGUUGACAACUAAAGCUCGAUGCUGAGGAGGAACAUCGAACCACUCAUCCUUGUGAAGUACUUGCAGACCACUGAGGUUGUCUUGCAGAAGUACUGUGAUGAAUGAGGGAUCGGUGUGCUUGGUCGCGCCCAAUGUCAACUCCGGCUCAGGACAGGGCGGAUAAAAGUUACCCUGCACAAAAACUCCUUCAGAACAGCCGAGUUUUAGGAGGUGUGAUGGGUCCAAGCCAAGGGCCUCUGACAAUAAUUUAAACAAUGUCGACCCCAGUACCGUUAUCUUCCGGUAAUACUCCGUCAUCAAAUGUCUACAUAUAAACAAAUAAAUCAUCAAAAAAUUUGAAAUUAUCAUGUACUUUAUAAUCAAUGAUUUUAAAAUAAAUGCAUUACCUAAAAAUUUCAGGUAAUUCUUCUGGCUUGGGAGGAUCAGGAGCCAUGGCAAACCCAAUAGUGUCUCUCCAGUUGGCAAACUUGUCAGUGGCUAAGUUGGUGUUGGAGUGAUAAUAAAACUUUUGAUUGUCGCGGUUGUAAAACUUUCUCCGCACUUUGACAUCUUGUUGGUUGAAGCAACGAACUCCAUCAAUAAUUUUUUCUAGAAGGUCAGCUGGAAUCCCAUGCUUUGCAUGCUUUCUGCAUCUGGUUAAUCACCUCAGUAUGCACUCCUUUUAGGUCGAUGGUGGUAAUGCUGAAAUUGCAGCCAGAAGUUGGAUAUUGAUCAGGGGUGUCACAGUAGAACAUCCUUGGAAUCCUUCUGACACCCGCCUCUACAAGACCUUGAACGCCUGCUUUCGAUUGCUCAAAUUCAUCGACUUCAGCUUGCCUAUCAUAACUCUGUAAAAUUUAACAUAUAAGACAAUUAGAUAUAAAUCAACUGUCUUAACGCUUCCACUAUGCUUUCUUUCUGAGAAAUCUAAUUCACAAGAAAAAUCUCACUAACUAACUAAUUAAUCGUUUCUAGUCAAGCAAACACAAAAUAGACCUUGAAUCAAAAGCUAAAAAAACACAUCGGUUAAAUCAAUAAUCAAUUAGAAAUCUAAACACUUGUACUCUGCUUAGAUUCUGAGAAAUCCAAUUCCCACACAAAAUCUCACAAACUAGCUAAUUAAUCAUUUCUCAACAAGCUAAAACAACAUAUCAGUUAAAUCAAUAAUCAAUUACAAAUCUAAAAACUUCAACUCUGCUUAGUUUCUGACAAAUCAAUUCACAAAAAAUCUCACAAACUAGCUAAAACACAAGUAUAUAUAUAUAUAUAUAUAUAUAUAUAUAUAUAUAUAUAUAUAUAUAUAUAUAUAUAUGCCAUUUCUUUCACUUCUCCAUGGACACCAAACCCUGCCAAGUAUAUAUAUACAAGGCAGAUGCGCGUACAAGGAAAAGCUAGGAGCAUGUAAACUAAUUACAAGUUAUUACAAACAAAUGAUACACAUAAUGAUAGGAUAAUUUUAGAGUAAUUGAGUGAUAUGCUCACCAUCUAUAGAACCAACAUGUGUCUCACAAGCUUUACGUCAAAAUGAAUGGAAGCAAGCUAUGUCUGAUGAAUUCACUGCCCUCAUGCAAAUGGAUGUAAAUAAUGCUUUCCUCAAUGAAGAAGUCUAUAUGUCUCAGCCACUUGGUCCUUAAUUAUUUGGCAGGGAAACAAAACAAAUAGGUCCUUAAUUUACCAACUUUAUCCUUCUCUCAUAUCCCUUUGUGACAUCCCCUGUUCUAUACAUUCUAAACGCGGCUGCUGAUAAGCGUGUGAAAGUGCUGAAAAAAAUGUGCAGAAUUCCUCCACUUCCUAUUUCUCUUUUGCUAGUUAGAGUUUCAACUGGUUAUCUUAUUCACAAAUGAAUUUUGCUGCUGAUAAAAAAAAACUUAAUUUCCAUUGUUACUAUAAAGUCAUGUUUACUUAUUUUGGUUACCUUUAAUAUGUUAACUUAUAAAUCCUGUUUUCUUCAAUUUAACCAGUUUGAUUUAAAUUUUGUACUAGGGGAAUGCUAUUAACACUUGCUCACACACUCUCUCUCAAUUAAUGGUGCCACGUCAGAUUCUAGCAUCCCUCUUUGUACUAUAAUAACUACUAUAACCGUUGAAGAAUCUAAAACCAAAUAAAGAGCUGCAUUAGCAUUAGAAGCAUGAUGAUCUGAAUAAAACUUUUAAUGUUGACAAAUGGUCCAUGAAUGCAACUUUUAAAAUCCAAGGUGAUCAUUACAAACAAUGGAAAAACAUUUACAAACUUAUAAGGUCAUGUCUGUAUCAAUUAAGAAUCUAUCUACAACAUAGUCUUAAUUGAUUAUGUCAUGGUUUGACUUUCAAUUUCUGCUUAUUAUCAAUUAUUUGGCAGGGAAACAAAUUGGUCCUUAAUUUACCAACUUUAUCCUUCGGUCAUACGACAACAAAUUAUCUUCCUUUUCAUUUUAUUUUUUAUCCUAUCUCCUCUAUAGGCAUCAACAUAUCAAAUGUACCACUGGCACUAGGGACACAGGCAAUUAAAACUAGCUUAAAAAUUAUAAUUAAAGAUAGCUAACAACAACUUUCAUCUUCUUUCACAAAGCAGCACCAACUUACCUAUUACUGCAUAUCACUUCUUUGGGAUCAAUUUUGUUUUCUCACUUUAUUAAGCAUUUUUUCUUCUUUUUAAAAAUAAGAGCUGCCACAUGGCACGUUUUUAGUGGCCAAUGUCAUGUGACUUUGGUGGAAUAAUAAUGUCCCUGAACUGUGUCUACACUUGACUUCAUUGUUUCACAACACUUUCCUAAAAUAGUAUAGACCACUCUUUUCCUCAUUCUUUUCUUCAUUAUCACAAAUUAGAUCACUAAAUAUUCAUUUUACUAAGGUAUAUAUGCUUCUUGGUAUCAUAAUCUUUAUCAUUUCUGAGGCAUCAUUGUUUUUCAUUAAAUAAAAUAAUUAUAUAACUCAAAAUAGAGGUGAAAAUUUUGUUGAAACUCAAAAUAGAGGUGUUUUAUUUAAUGAGCAUGCUCAAGUCUUCUGUUAGUUUUAGGCUUUAGUUGAUUAUAUUUAUAAGUUGUAACCAGUUUAAAUUUUUUGAGAUUCAUAAAGUAUUGCACCAUGAUUGAUGACCAAAGAAAGAGACAAUGUAGUAAUAACCAAGUCAUUUCCCAAUUUCAUGAUUCACAUAGUGUUUUAAGACUUUCAAUUAUUACAGUUUUGACAUACUAUUUUGUGUAACUUUUGAAAUGCAUAAAUAUCAUGAUUCGGAGGAUUUAGUAAAUGUUUGUGUAAAUUUAGAAAAGAAAAAAAAGUUUAUUCUGUCAAGUAUGAUGGCUUUAAAGUAUCACUAGUUCAAACAUCCACAACAAGCAUCACUAGUUCAAAAUGAUUAAUUAACACUAAAAACAACUUAAAACUAUAAAAUCCUAAAUUGGAAAUGAUUAUAGGUUUUAGGCAAUGCAAUCACUAAAUGAUUAUCAGCAAGACUCAGUUUGCUUAUCCUUAAUAAGCAUUUUUAAAGGAUAACUAAAUUGUUUCCCAUCCAAAAGUCCUUCUUCUAUUGCACUUUUCAAUCAAUAUCACAAGACAUGUUGGAAUAGAAUAUUGUCCAUUGAAAUAUAUUACUUUAGAACUCAAUAUAUUUUUAUUUUUGGAAAUAACAGCAACAAAAUUAUAAAAUUUUUGGACCCACCAAACCCACCUGGUCGCAUGCAUAAGUUGCCUUGUCCAACAUCAUUCCGUUUUUGUUGAGUUAAAAGUGGGAUCAACCAAAAGGGGGAAUGUUUUGGACUUUGGACAUUUUCCCGACAUUGAGGUGGCAUGUGGUGAUUUGCUUGUCAUAUGACACCUGCCAACCAUGUUUUCCGUUGAAGUCACUCUAACAAUCUUUGUCUUUAUAUCUCUCUCACAUAAGCAUAAGCAAGCACAUCGCCUUUCAGAUUCUAGCUUUACAAUCACUCCAUUCCUCAUUUCUCUCAUUCUUCGUUUUUUAUUCGAGUUCUUAAGUUCUCUCACCUUCUUCAUCGCUAUUUCUGCUUCUGUUCAAUGUUCAAUGUCUAAUCUAAAUUGAAUGGGUGAUUGCUUUUGUGCUUAUGAUUCUUUCAAUUUCCUAAUCCAAAUUUGUUUAUCUAUUCAAUUAUUUUCCUUAUGGGUACUAACUAGGUUUUGGCAAUUCGAAAAGUUAGUUUAUGAAAAAGAUGUUAUAAAUACUUUUCAUGAAUCUGCUUAAUUAUUAAUUGAAUAUGUGAACCAACUUACUUUGUAGAACAUCCUCACUAAUGCCCUCUUGCUAUUGAUUUCUGUCUCUAACUCCUUAUGUGACAUGACAUGGGCGUCUGGUUCUUUUCCUAAAUAAGAAAGAUUUUCCUUUGUUAUGUUCCUUCAACUUACCUUUCCAAAUUGAUUUCAAGCUGUAUAUAUUAUUAGACCGCAAUCGCAAUAAAACUGUUGUCAUAUGAUAUGCACUUUGUAAACUUAAUUUCUAUGUGAAAACCAAAUGGCUUAGUUUCAGGUUAGUUCAUCGAACUUGUUGCAACUUUGAUGAAAAUAUAAAUAAUAUGUUAAGAAAAUAAUCAAAGCACCCAAAUGAAAAUCCUUAUGCUUAAACAUAUCUCGCUUUUUGUACCAAUUAAAAUCCAUCUUUAUUCACUUUAUAUUAUAAAUCAUUGAGAUGUAACAUUGAUUCCACACUAGUGCCGAGUUCUGCUACAAAACUUCUUAUUAUAUAGCUCCUGGAGCCACUGCAGUGUAGUUUCUAACUUGCUCUACCGUAAGGAGCCUCCUUCCUGUGCUUUGGUUUACAUGAACUGAAGUAGUUGAUAUCCUCUUGGAGAUAGUUGGCGUACUCUGUUAACAGAAUUAAUAAUAUUUGACGGUGUUGUGACUUGCGAUUUCAUCGAAGUAAAUAUUUCUUGAUGUGUUAUAUCUAGUUGCUUUAAGUUGCCCUGUUUUUAUUUGUAAAUGGACAGAUGGCCGAUGUUAUUGUUGACUAUGACAUGUCCAGACAGACAUAUUCAGCUGUGCAUCAUGAGGAAGUGAAUUGUGAUUCUGUUAGUCAGUCAUGCAUUCCACCUUUUUAGCUAAUUAAUAAUAAAAUUAAAGAGGCAUGCAGUGAUAAGAAAGAGUGUGACUCCAAUUCUGAUUCAAAGAGAUGGGAGGACUUUGUUCAAAAGGUGGAGAUAAUGAUGUGGAGGAUUCUCCAAAAUAGGAUCUCAACAAAGGAUAAUUUGUUCAAAAGGGGUGUUUUGAAGGAGUCACAAAUUAGAUGUAUAAAUGGGUGUGAUGUGGUUGAAAAUAUUGCUCAUAUAUUCUCUGAAUGCCCUACAAGUGGGGGGGGGUUUGUGUUGGUGUAAGCCCUAGAGGCCAAUAGUUUAUGUUAAACCUAUCUUAUGUAUCAUGACUUUUAUUAUUGAAUAAUAUAUGGCACUCUUUAUUAUAUUUAGAUAAUGUUAAUAAAGUCCUUAGAAUAGAUAGUUCGUUUAAUAAUAUAUUAAGUGUGACUUAAUCAUGAGAUUACAUUAUCUUAUAGAACGCUAUUCUUAAAUGUAUCCGUAGUCAAAGCUUUAAUAUGAAUAAAGGAUAAUAACAAAGCGUCGAGACUAUUAUGUAUGUAGACUGAUGACCGCAUCUCAUGGGUCAUAGAUAUGAGAUAUCAAGUCUAUACAUAGAUAUAAAUAUUAGGAGUAAUAUUUAUANNNNNNNNNNNNNNNNNNNNNNNNNNNNNNNNNNNNNNNNNNNNNNNNNNNNNNNNNNNNNNNNNNNNNNNNNNNNNNNNNNNNNNNNNNNNNNNNNNNNNNNNNNNNNNNNNNNNNNNNNNNNNNNNNNNNNNNNNNNNNNNNNNNNNNNNNNNNNNNNNNNNNNNNNNNNNNNNNNNNNNNNNNNNNNNNNNNNNNNNNNNNNNNNNNNNNNNNNNNNNNNNNNNNNNNNNNNNNNNNNNNNNNNNNNNNNNNNNNNNNNNNNNNNNNNNNNNNNNNNNNNNNNNNNNNNNNNNNNNNNNNNNNNNNNNNNNNNNNNNNNNNNNNNNNNNNNNNNNNNNNNNNNNNNNNNNNNNNNNNNNNNNNNNNNNNNNNNNNNNNNNNNNNNNNNNNNNNNNNNNNNNNNNNNNNNNNNNNNNNNNNNNNNNNNNNNNNNNNNNNNNNNNNNNNNNNNNNNNNNNNNNNNNNNNNNNNNNNNNNNNNNNNNNNNNNNNNNNNNNNNNNNNNNNNNNNNNNNNNNNNNNNNNNNNNNNNNNNNNNNNNNNNNNNNNNNNNNNNNNNNNNNNNNNNNNNNNNNNNNNNNNNNNNNNNNNNNNNNNNNNNNNNNNNNNNNNNNNNNNNNNNNNNNNNNNNNNNNNNNNNNNNNNNNNNNNNNNNNNNNNNNNNNNNNNNNNNNNNNNNNNNNNNNNNNNNNNNNNNNNNNNNNNNNNNNNNNNNNNNNNNNNNNNNNNNNNNNNNNNNNNNNNNNNNNNNNNNNNNNNNNNNNNNNNNNNNNNNNNNNNNNNNNNNNNNNNNNNNNNNNNNNNNNNNNNNNNNNNNNNNNNNNNNNNNNNNNNNNNNNNNNNNNNNNNNNNNNNNNNNNNNNNNNNNNNNNNNNNNNNNNNNNNNNNNNNNNNNNNNNNNNNNNNNNNNNNNNNNNNNNNNNNNNNNNNNNNNNNNNNNUCAGACCAAUCGUUCUAAGGUAACAAUCGAAUCACUGGUUCAAGUUCCAAUUCGUAAUGAUCCAAGGAAAGUAAAUCGAAUAUUUUAUUCCGCUGCUUAUUCUGUACAUGUCGAUUUACCUUCAGUUUGGCAAAGGAUUCUGUCAUGGUUGAACUACUCAACUGUUAUGCAUAAUAAUACUUUCUAAGAAGCAGAGUGUUUAGAGCAAGGGAGCAUAUAAAUCAUCAUAUUUUCUCUUAGUUAUGGAGUAGUGUGAAAAAUGAAUGCUCAAUUAUAAUUGAUAACUCUAGUUUUUUGAUUGGAGAUGGAGAAAGUAUAAGGUUCUGGACUGACAGAUGGUGUGGCCCUCCUCUUUGUGAAGUCUAUCAGUUCCCACCUCACCUUUACAACUCUCUGAGCUCCAGAGUUAGUGAUUACAUUCCAUGGGAAAUUAAUCUCCAUUUUCCCUAAUCUGAGACAGAUUGUGGAACAAGUCAUCAUUCCUGCAGAGAAAAAACUUGACAUGCUCCUUUGGAUCAACACUCCUUCUGGUGACCUCUCCCUCAAAGAUGCCUAUCUUUUCAAAGCCCAUCAUUUCAGAAGCUGCACUGGGCCAAAACUAUCUGAAGUAUUGAUAUACUUCCGGCUAGAUCCUUAAUUGCCUGGAGAAAUAUGCAUGACAAUAUGCCUACAGAUGAAAGACUCAUGGAGAGAGGUUGUAAUCUCUCAUCUAUUUGUAACCUGUGCUUGAAUCAUGCUGAAGCAACCUUCCAUUUGUUCUUUGAUUGUCCUUAUGCUGUCAGAAUUUGGAACUGGCUCUCUGCUACCCUUAACAUCAACUUGCAUGUGUUUGGGUGUUUUGGAAAAGUCGUAACAAGAAAUAAAGAUGAAUAGAUUCAUAUAUUUGUUAAGUCAAUGGAUUCUAAAUCUGUUGGAGUGUCUUUGAUGUAUUGAAAUAUAUGAAUUCGGAUUGGAGAGGGGCUGUAUCGGUUCAUGUUUAUGGACUGGAAAUUCGUUGAAGGGCUCAGAAAAUAAGUGUUGUGGAUCUGUAGAGUUGUGGAGUUAUGUGGUUACCGUGGUUUCAGUGCUCGGCAGAAACAUCAAGGUUUUGUAUAUGUGGUGUAGCUGUGUGUUGGUCUGAGCGCAUUUGUUUUCUCAGCUUGAGUUGUUUUGUAGGUGCUUCGAUGCGGUUGUUGGUGUUGGCUCAGCUGUGUUGAGGUGCUGUUUUGGCUUAUUUUGGUGUUUGCAGCAGUAAAAUCAAGAAUCUCAGUAUCAGCAGUUCGUGCUAGAUUUGUGUAGGUGAGGUGGGUUUGGAGCUAAUGUGGAGUUUGGUGUGAUUGGUAUUGUGUUGUAUUGUUAGCUAGAUCCUUUGAUGUUUGAGAUUUCAGUGCAUAUUAUAUGUUAUAGUGGGAGUUCAUAUAGAUGGCAUCUUUGAAGACUAUCAAAUUAUCAAUUGUUUCUGGCAUUUGGGUGUGAGGUUCUGCCUUGGAUAGGUGUUUUGCAUCUAAGUUCUUUAUCGGGGUGUAUCAAAAGGGGUAUUUGGAAUUAUACCAGGUUUCAUGAUUUCUUUUUGUGGCGUGGGAGGUCUGUUUCUUUUUUUGCUUUGCUAUGUAUCUUGGCAUAUCUUAUGCUAUAAUAUCGUUUCUUUGGUUUUUUCCAAAAAAAAAAAAAAAAAACUGGUAGAAUGUAACUCUAAGUUCAGCCCAAAUCUGGGAACGAUGAGAAGCUUGCAGACUAGCAAAAAUAAUGGUUAAAAUCCAACCAUAAGAGGUGUUAGCAUUGAAACAGAGAUGCACGUAAUAUUUUGAUUAAGAAAUAACAUGUAAUCGAGAAAGACUCCACAAACACUAAAUUCCUCUAGAGCAACCAAUAACCCCAACCUGCUCAACACAUAGAAGACCAAUUUUUUAAAUGACCUUGUCAUCCCUAAGACCACUAAUACAAGGAUCAUAUAUUCUACCUUAUGUUACCGGUCUUUCAACCAUAUUUCAUCAGCCACAGGAAGAGUAUGCUCUAUCACAACACACACACACUCGCAAAUUUUCCAUGAGCAACCUUAAGCCUAUUAUGAUCUGUUUUUAUGGGUUGACCAAUGUCAGAGACCAUACUCAUCAGAAAUCUCUCAUAUUGACUAAGACCUGGAAAGUGGACUCGGACCAUAGCACUGCCCACACGAGCCUUGGGUGAAGCCAUGAAUCGAAAACGACAAAAACAAAAAAGCGAUGAGUGGCCAUGGCUCACAGUUUUAAAAAUACACCUACAUUUUUACACAUAUGAGUGGCCAUAUGUGUAAAAAUUUGAUUGAAAGUUUAUGCUUAUUUAUUUAGACAAUGUACUUGCAUUGCAGUUUGUUAAGAGUAUUGGGUUAUUUUAGGAGUGUUAUUGGGAUGUCUUGUAUUAGUUAUACUACAGUUGUCGUUUACCUAUGUUGAGGUGUAUAACAAAAAUUGAAGUGAUUGAUUUGUGUCAUUGUUCUUACACAGAUAAUCCUACAUUCAUGAAUUAAGUGUUCAAUAUUUAUCAUCCUUCCACUACUGUAUGUUCACUGUUUAGUUUUGUGAGUUAUUAUUUAUUUUUUUGGAACAGUGAGCUUUUUUUUAAAAAAAAUCCUGUUAAUGCUUUUGUUGAAUCUUUAAGGGAAACCAAGGUCACUGAAUUUGCCUCUUAAAAUUAAUUAUGGUAUUUAAGUGGCGAGAGGAGGAAUCAUGGUCAUACAUUAUCUCAUCAGUUGAGUUUACCAAACACUUCAUCUGAGAUGGUUGCUAUAGAGAAGUUGUUUCAGAUUCUGUUCCUUGAAAAAUUAGAGUGAAACGAGGCUGUGUUACUCAUCCUCGAAGCAUUGCCGAAAGGGUUGAAUUUUGUUUAUAUGCAAAAAUCAAUUAUUUUCUGGAGGCAUCUUAUCAUAUCGUAUUGCGGAUAGGACUUAUGAAUUACUAACUAUAUUUGAAGGAAGCUUUUGCAUACAAAAUAAUUGAGGAAUGGAAUGAAGCUAUUAUUUUUGAAGUUUUAGACUAUGUUGAAUUUAUGAAGUGUUUUGAAAAUGAUGAUUCCAAGUAACUAUUUUCAGGUAUGAAGAACUAGGAUCAGUGAAAGAAUGAGGAAAUUAUAAGAGCUUGUUCCAAACAUGGACAAAGUGGAAGACAAGGACAUAUCUCCUCUCAAUCCAUGUCUUUAUUCUCUCGCAUUUACUUCAAUGAUAUAUAUCAGCUUCCUCAAUUUACCGGCGGUGGUGGAAGACAAGGAGAUGUUGAGAUGUGGAACUUAUGGAAAAAAUCAGCAGUUGUAAUUUUCUUCUACAAAUGACUCUUGAAUAUGGAACAUAGCUGAAUUUUCUUCUAUAUUUCGUCCAAUUAAGUGUUCUCAAUUACUCCUGGUAUGAAAGAAUCGAUCGACAAAUUAAAUGCUAAUUGAAAUGGUUCAAAAGGCUUAUAUGGAACAUAGUGCAUUGGUUUAUAUGGAUAAAUGAAACAGACAUUAAUGUUUUUGAUGUCUAAUUUCUUUAGUUUUAAUAGAGUUUUGGUUGGAGCUGCCAAGGAGUUAUUCAUAUGCAGAGCGUGAGCAUAGCUGUUUUUGUGAGCAUAUUAAAGUCUAGGUAUUCAAUCCCGGAUAGUGGCGCGUAGCAGCUGACCCUAAAAAUGGCAUAGCGGAAUCCCGGGUAGCAGGAUUGCUGGGGUCGCAAAGGAUAGAUUGUAUAAGAACAUUAGAGAGAUUGUAUAAAAAACAAGAGAACAAUAAAAAGAUAUGAUAAAACGAUCACUAGUUAAAGAUGUAACAGAGGAGAGAUUCAACGUGUCUUUUAAUGUCUAUUAUGUAGUAGCUGAUUCCACUGUAACAAACAAAAAAACAUACGAUAAAAAAAACAGAACAUGUAAUGAAUGGAAGGGUUUGGAGUUGAAAACCGAAAUUGCCCUUCAAACGGUUCAAAUUUCAAGGGUACAAUCGUGAUUUUCUUGGAGCAAGAACCCAGGAACCGGAGCAUGCGAACUGGGAACCUGCUCUCCCACCUGGAACGGCCGGGAAUCAGAAGUGGGAUGGGAUUCACAUUCUCGUCGCAGUUUUUCACUUAGAUGCUCCGCUUCUCUGGGAUCCCAUCUGGAUUGACUACCUAGAUUUAAGUUUGAUUUAUGCAAUUAUAAUAAAUUUUUUGAUUUUUUCUUGGUGUUGCUGUAAGUUUGUUUAUAUUGUUUUAAAUCCAACUAUUUCUGAGCUGCAAUGUUCUCAUUUAUUGGUUUCUGCAUAUUGGUUUUAUGCCAAACCAAUUGUAUUGCUACUUUUGUCUUUUGAUUAUGAUUUGUUUGUAUGGUGUUUAUUUGUAAAAUAAAUACUUCUUUUGGUUUGUUGUAAUGGACGAUAGUCAGGUGGUGCGUUAACAAGAGCUACUCAGGGUGUAUUGAGUUUAGAUUUUGAUGGAAGAAGAAAACAUAUAGCAAAGGUGCAGACAACAUUUGAAAACUAUUUUUAAUUUACCAAGAAAAAAUUUGGAUUGUUGUUACUUAAUGCAUUCGGUUCCAGCCUUGUAAAAAUUAAGUUGGAUUGUCAAGUUGAUUUGGAAUGGUGUAACUGUUUGUUUAGCUACAAACUAUUCCUAGACUGAUUACAUAACAACAUUUGUAUUUUAUGGUCUCUAGAUGUUCCAAUGACUGGUUGAGGGUGAUAUGGAUUUUGUCUUACCUUUCAACAAAUUAAAGAAAAUGAUGAUCACUGAUGUUACAUAUCAUCUGAGAUUAAUAUUUGAUGCGUUUAUCAUGGAAUCGCAGUUUAGAACAAGUUAAUCGAUGUGUACUUGGUAGUUUGUCAGCUGUUGGUGAUUAACAAUUUUGUAGGAGUUGGUUACAGUAGUUUGUUAUGUCUUUUAUUCUUUGUAAAAAAGAGUCCCGAAAUUAUAAAUUCAUGGUGCAGUUCUAAACUGUGAUUCUGUGAUAAACACAUCAAACAUUAAUCUCAGAUAAUAUGUAACAUCAUUUUCAUUAAUUUGUUGAAUGGUAAAACAAAAUCCAUAUCAUCCUCAACCAGUCAUUGGAACAUCUAGAGACCAUAAAAUACAAAUGCUAUUAUCUUGUCUAGGAAUAGUUUGCAGCUAAACAAACAGUUUCCAUCAUUCCGAAUAAACUUCACAUGUAACAAGGCUUCUAGGAAAUACCAAUAAUUCUUUCAGCAUUUCAAACUUUUUCUGGGAAUUCCUUCAGCAAUUAUUUUAAAAUUUACUGGGGUCAAAUUGAAUUUUUUGAAAAAUUUGGGGACCAAAAUGCAAAAUUUGAAAAAAAAUAUAACAAUGAAGAAUUUUAAAAUUCUGAAUUUUUAGGUGUCAUUUGAAAUUCUCUAAAUUUAACUUGAACAAAAUACUUCAUAAAUUACCAUCAUUUUGAAAAUUCUUUAAAUUAUUAUCAAAACAAUGAAAUUCACCUCAAAGUAUUUGAAUUUCCUCAAAACAUUCCCUCAUCCAAACACACUCUCAGAGAAUUUCUAGGUAAUUUAAAUGAUUCAAUUAAAUUAAUUUCAUUUCUCGAUACUUUUGUUUGGAUUGAGUAAUAAAAAAUUUCAUUGUCAUCAUUUUUGAGCAACUUUUAUAAAUUUUAAUUUUUUUGGGGCCAAAUUUGAAAAUUGAAAUUAGGGGUCGAUUUGUAAAUUUCAAAAUUUUUAGGGAUCAAAUUAUAAUUUUUGAAAAUUUUGAGGGGUCAAUUUACAAAUUUGAAAUUAGGGGUCGAUUUGUAAAGUGUUUUUAAAAUUUUUUAACUUUUAUUUAGAAACACUUUCCUAAAAUAGUAUAAUAGACCACUCAUUCACCUCUUUUUAGAAACUCACAAUUCUUUUCUUCAUUAUCAACACAUCAACCAACAAUAUAUCACAAAUCAGAUCACUAAAUUAUUCAUUUUCCUCUCCCAUCCUUCAUUACUUUCCUGAUAAGGUAUGUAUGUAUGUAUGUAUGUAUAUGUGUGUAUAUAUAUAUAUAUAUAUAUAUAUAUAUAUAUAUAUAUAUAUAUGCUUCUUGGAAUCAUAAUCUUUAUCCUUUUUGAAACUUUGUUUUGUUGCUAGCUAGGGUUCUAACGUUAUGUUAUCACAUUGAAAUAUUUGGAUCUAAUUUCAUGAUUUACACACUGUUUUGAGACUUUGAAAUGUUCCAUAUUAUCUAAUACUCCUUCCGUCCCAAAUUGUAUGACGUUUUGGGCAUAUCACACGUAUUAAGAAAUGUAAUUAAUUUUGUGUGGGAAAGAGAUAUUAUGAGUUGUUUUACAAAAUUGUCCUUAAUAAAUGAUAUGAGAAAGAUAAAUGAAUGACUUGGAAGUAGAGAAGGCAAUAAAUAGUGAAGGAUAUAAUAGGAAAAAUAACAUUAAUGAUUCAUUGGUAUUGUAAAGCGACAUACAAUUUGGGACAAAAAAAAUUUCCAAAGCGACAUACAAUUUGGGACGGAGGGAGUAACUGCUUUGAGUUUCCACUACAUGGGAUCUCUGUAAAUUUUAACAAUCAGCUGCUGAAGGUUGAGCAAGAUAGGAGCAAAUAUUGAAUAGAUCUCUUACUAUGUGCGCUUUGAAAUCUUUGAGGCUCUUCUUUUGAAGUGCAAGUUUCUCUCGUAUGAGACUGCUGCUGUUGUGGUUUUAAGGAGGGUGUAAAAUUAAAAUGCAAUAAUUUGGUUUAAGUAUGUGUACAAAUUUGAAUAAGGUUUAUGUGUGUAACUCCUCAGGAUCUCCAUUUAUUUGUGCAGUAGUAUGGUGUAAAAUUGAUCUUUAUAUUUUGACAAAUACAAAUAAUACUAGUAAUGAGGUUUGGCAAGAAGGAGAGUAGUCCAAUAAGUAGAGGGAGAUCAAGAAAAACUGUAGGUUAAGUAAUUAAGAGGGACUAUCUUUAGACAUGAUAAGAAAUUAUGGUGUUGUUUAGUGCAUUUAGCUGAUCCAACCUAGUGAGAAAAGGUCUAGCUAUCGUUGUAUGAAAAGUCACAUAUUAGAUUUGGUUCUGUGGGUUGUGGAGUUUUCCUUUUUUUUUGUUAACAUAAUUCUUCUGUAGUGAUUUCUGUCUUAUGCUAUAUUGCAUCAGUUUCCAUAAUAGAAUUUUAUUUUACAAUGUUAUCUUGUUAAUGUCUUGGCAGGGAAAUUUGAAAGUUGAAGCUUGCGUAUACGACUUGCCGACAAGGAGUUAUUGAAGUAGCUAAGAUGUAAGUAGCAUGAUAAUUUAUUGGAUACCAAGUGUUGUCAAGUAGUGGUGCUAUAGCACUGUAGCAUAAAGUAAUUUGAACAGAUUGCUGUAAUCUGCUAUAUGCGAUUGACAAUAUUGAUAAGAAAGCAUUUGUGCAUGCACAUUCUUUUACAUAUUGCAUUUCAACUCGUGCCUUUGUGAAAUUUAUCUGUGGAAUGUUUCUUGGCCAUCACUGCUUUAUUGUUACAAUCUUUUCUAGUGUAUGCCUUUCUUAAUAUUGAAUGUUUUCAUAUAUUUUGUAUUUAAAGUUCUGAAAACUUUCAUUGGUACCAUGAGAAGUGUACUAUAGAUCAUCUCAGUACAUUACAAGCAUGUCAGUGGACGGUUUUUAUAUUUUAAUUGAAAAGUUUGUGAAGGGUGAUGGUGCCAAUAGGCCACAAUGGCAUAUGUUUUAUAUGUCGAUUUUUGGCCUUCCAGCAUCUAUAACACUGACCUUAGCUACUGUUUGCAUAGAAUUGUUGUUUUUGUUUGUUUUUGCUGCUUGUUAAUCUAUCAUGUGCUACGAAAUUAAUCAUGUGCAGGUUCCAGUGGAGCUUCUGGAAGAUGCUAAAACAUCAGCCAAAGCAGCUCUUGAAGAAAUGGAUGCUGAUUAACUGAUUAAGAAUAUUCUUUUCUUCAUUAUCAACACAUCAACCAACAAUAUAUCACAAAUCAGAUCACUAAAUAUUAAUUUUCCUCUCCCAUCCUUCAUCACUUUCCUAAUAAGGUAUAUAUAUGCUUCUUGGAAUCAUAAUCUUUAUCCUUUUUGAAACUUUGUUGCAAAUGUACUGUUAGACGAUAUGAGUUUGUCUAACAUGUGCAAUAUUGCACAUGUUAAGACAACUAAAAGUAGUAAAUUUUCAUUGAAAAACACCAAUUAUUUAUCAAAAAGUUAUAUAUUUAAUAUAAAAUACACAAGUUUCAAGACAAACUUACCAUUCUAAAUUUAAGACUAGACGCUUGAAAUCGAAAACUGCAUGAUAUAUUACUGCUCCAAAUCCCUAAAUUGGACGACAAUUGUGGUUUCCUUUUAAUUACCGUCUAUGCUACAGAUCCCUAAUAUGACAACUGCUUACAGAUGAUUAUUACUUACAACAAUUUUUGCAAUUAUCUGUGCCAAAUAGUAUAUACGGAGUUCAUGACGAGGCAAAGGAUAAAGAAUUCAAACCUGAAAUGAGCUGGGUGUGUGAGGAAUCAAACCGUCAGAAUGAAAAGGUAAGGCAGGGUGUACUUUGAGUUACUUUUAAACAAUGACAUAUUUUUCCUUCAAUUACUUCAAAAUAAUGAUUGUAUAGCAUAGGAUCCACAUUUUUUCUUUGUUUGCCUGUAUCUGAUUUGUAUUGAUUACAACCAUUCUGAAACUUUCAAAAAUCAAUUCUUAUUCUGUUGAUUCAGAUUUUUAGGUUUCUGGUUAUUACCUCAAUUCAUGGUAUUGUAUGAUUAGCAUUUGGAAGUAAAAGUAAUUGAGCCAACCUUGAAUAAGGCAAUACAAUAAUACUGUGCAAUUCUGAUUAUGAAUUAAAUGGAAAAUUAAUCAACCUUGUUUUGAUUAUGAAUUAUUAGUUUUCAUAUUACUUUGUUAGUUAUGUGUAAGCUGUAACCAGUUAAAGAUCCCUUUUUUUAUACUUUAGACUUUAGAGUAUUCAUAAAAUACCGCUUGAUGAUUGAUACCAAAGCAAAAAUUUCUAAAGUUAAUGAUAUACAUAGCGUUGAGUUAUAAUAGUUUUGACAUACUAAUUUUUGUAACUUGAACUAUGAGGAUCUACUAAUUCAGAGGUUUUUAUAAUCGUCUGUGUGCAAAUUUUGACAAGAAAAAAUGUUUAUUCUAGAGUAAAUUUCUUUUCAGCGUGUACGGCGACCCAAUACCUGUCAACUAAAAGAUUUAAUUGGAUGGCAUGGUGAAUUUGAGCGGGGAAGUAGAAUCAUUGUGACUAGUAGAGACAUGCAAGUACUUAAGAAUAUAGAUGCUGAUGAAAUAUAUGAAGUGAAUGAGAUGAAUUUUCAAGAUUCUCUACAACUAUCCCGUAGGAGCUUUUAUGGGUUUAUCAGAGAAGGUUUUAAAUUGUGCUAAAGGGAUCCCAUUAGCUCUCAAAGUUUCGGGCUUUUCACUUCAAAAUAGAACAGAAGAAGAAUGGGAAAGUGCUUUGGAGAAGUUGAAAAAGCAUACUGAAGGUGAAAUUUUUGGUGCCUUGAAAUUAAGUUACGAUGGGCUUGAUGAUGAGCAGAAGGAUAUAUUUCUUGACAUAGCUUGCUUCUGUAGGGGACAUGACAUGAAUACUGUCAAGCAAACUCUAGAUAGCUGUGGUUUCUCGACUGCCAUUGGAAUGAGAAUUCUUAUUGGUCGAGGCCUCAUGUCUAUUCUAAAAGGUGAAAUUGUGCUGCACGAUCUUAUACAGGAAAUGGGACUUGAAAUUGUUCAUCAACGAUACUGGAAACCGCAAUCAAUUAUGGAAACAUGGGGAUGUUUAUCACGUUUUAAGAAAGAACAAGGUAAAUCCUUUAUGUUUCUUAUUUUGCUUUACAUUCUCCAUGAAACCUUUAUCUGCUAAGGGCUAAGGAAUACAUACAGUUGAAUGAUUCACUUUAAGUCUUUUUUUAUACAUAUGUACUUCAUGUCUUUAUCACAUAUUGAAAGCACUUGGCUGUUAUUUCUUUUCAACUUAAUUUUUUUAUUUCCGUUGAUAAGUCCUUCCUUUAACUUUUAGGGGGCGUAUGUAGUGCAGUGUAUAUUCAUCGACAUGUGCCGAUUCAGAAAAGUUCAACUGAAUCCCAAAACUUUCAAAAUGAUGAAUAAUCUGAGAAUGCUGCAGUUCUAUAAAUCUAGAGAAAAUCAAAACUCAAAAGUGCACAUUCCAUCAUUUCUUGAUAGUCUUCUAGAUGAUUUACGAUUUCUUCGUUGGGAUGCCUUCCCUCAAAGAUCUUUGCCGCUGGAUUUUUCUCUGGAAAAUCUUGUUCAACUUGACAUGCGUGACACUCAAAUUGAACUACUUUGGGAGAGAGAUCAGGUAUUGCCAGCUUUAUUUUUUUGCAAACAAACUUAGGAAAAUCAAUAUCAACAACAGUUUUCUAUAUUCAGGCUUAAAAAUCUGAAAUCAUUAAGAAAGAUCAAAUAACAAUUUUUUAUGGAGAAUAAUAAAAAUACUCAUAUUAAUUGAUAAAGUUUUUCAAAAAUAAAAAUUAAUAGAUAUAGUAACCUCGAUGAAGAAAUUUAGGGACAACCAUUUCUCGUAUCUUGAGAGAUUAUUAUUUUUUUUUUAAUUAAGUGAUUAGUAGUUGCAAAUUAACUCAUAUUAUAUACAUGGAGUUGGGAUUAAAUUUGCGAGUGGCUAUUCUUUUUAUGAAGUGAUCGGUAGUUUUUGUGAUUACCUAAUGAUGUACUGUUGAUUUGUGCCAGCAUUUACCGAAUUUGAAAAAGCUUGACCUUAGUGGUUCUCGAAAACUGAUUCGAAUACCAGACCUAUCUAGAUGUCCAAAUAUUAAAGAAGCAAUUCUUAGUCAUUGCAGAGAGUUGGUUCAAGUUUACACGUCUGGUUUUCUCAGAAGGCUAAAAUGUUUAUGGUUAAAUGGCUGUGUUGGGCUUAUGAGUUUAAACAUUCCUAGCAAUAUUCUCUCGAGGUCUUCAGGAUUAAUAGUUUUGUAUAAUUGUUGCAACCUUGAGAUGUUUUCGGUCAAUAGUCCAAACGAGGGGGUACUAUCAAAUGUUUGUUCACGCACUAGACCACGGGGGGACAUAUUUAGAUACAUUUUGCCUGAGGAUAUACAAUACUGUCUCGACAAACAACCUGGGUCCAUAUUUGAGAAAUUCUCGGAUACUUUUGAGCCGCUCGCCUGUGAUGUGUUAAAAAAAACUUACUAUUCCAAAGGAUAAUAUACACUUACUAAACUUAUAAGUGUUGAGAGAAGGUUCACCCUCAUUUUUUCCAAGUCUCAAUGAGCUUUGUUGGUUGGAUCUCUCUUACUGUGAAUCACUAAUAAGCCUUCCAAUUGACUUUUUGAAAUUGAAAUUUCUCAAAAGACUUUACCUCCGUGGUUGCUCGAAUAUGGAGGAGUUCCCAGAAAUUGAGGAAACUUCAGAAAAUUUGAUGGUUCUCAUCUUAGACGAAACAUCAUUAAAGGAACUGCCUUCAUCCUUACGCCAUUUGGAGAAGAGUUGAGCUUGCACAAUUGCUCAAGGAUUGAGAUUAUUCCAUCUUCCAUUGGAAGUCUCAGUAAACUGUGUAAAUUAGACCUUACCUGCUGCAAAUUAGAUCUUACCUGCUGUGAAUCACUUGAAACUCUUCCCAGCAGCAUCUUCAAACUGAAGUUAGCAAAAUUAGAUUUGCAUGGCUGCUCAAUGCUGAAGAUCUUCCCAGAGAUCUUGGAGCCUGCCGAAAACUUUGCUCACAUUAGCUUAGCAAAAGCAGCAAUUAAAGAGCUUCCUUCAUCAUUGGACUAUUUGGUUGGGCUUCAAACCUUGAGUCUUAGGCUAUGACAAAUAACAUUGGUAAUGUAACCCUUCUCGCCAAGCUUUAUUUUUUAGGCUAUGACAAGUUAUCAGAAAUCCCAAGUGACAUUGGUCGCUUGUCAUCACUCCGAGAAUUGUCAUUUCAUGAAAGUGGUAUUGUUAACCUUCCUGAGAGUAUUGCUCAUCUGUCAAGCUUGAAAUCACUUGAUUUAACUGAUUGCAAAAGGCUUGAAUGUCUAACGCAGCUACCACCAUUUCUGGAACACUUGUGGGCAUUUGAUUGUCCAUCCAUUAGGAGAGUGUCAAGUUCAAGGACUACAAGUUCAUCAGAUUCUAAACAGAGUCAUCAGGGCAUCUUCAAAUUUCAUCUCACCAAUAGUCAAGAACUAAAUUCAAGGGCUCAAAGUAACCUUGCGGCUGAUGCACAUAUGACGAUCCUUCAGGAUGCAUAUAGGUCUGUGUUCUAUUGCUUUCUAGGGAGUGCAGUUCCUUCUUGGUUCCCUUACCGUUGUGAGGGACAUUCAGUGACCCUGAAUAUAAAUUCUCUAAACUUGUGCAAUGAUAAUAUGCUCAUGUUAUGCAUGACGAAAAAAGAUGAUCUAGUGUUUUUAGCUAUAGAUUUGCUGUUAAAUCUGAUGAUGGUAAACACAUUUUUCCUAGCAAUGAUCAGCUAAGAUACUAUUUCAAAUGGAGGGGUGAAUAAAUGGUGGCUAUGGAUUAUAUUAUCCCUAAUAAACAGCAGAACAAAUGGUGGAUAAUUCAUAUGUUAAUCCUAGUUAUUUUAUGUAGCAUCCUAAUGUUAAUGCAUUCAGUAUAGUUGUAAUAACUUUCUAGAUUGGUGAACAUUGAAAAAAGGUUAGUAAGUGCUGGUACGUUGAGAUAAUAUUUGAUCAUACACAAAUAAGUAGUCCAUUUAAAAUGAUAUUUCUGUUUCGUUAAAUUUAAUCACACAUGCAUAUUUGCAUAUUAACUGAUACAUGAGAAUGAGGUAAGUUUUAAAUUUAAUCAUUCAUCCUUGCAUAUUUAUAGCCAAGAAUAUAUUUAGAAAAAUAAACUUUUUUUUUACAAGGGCAUACAAGUUGGGAAAUCAAUAAAUAUAGAGCUAUUUAAUGCGUGACGACUUCAUUUGUUUAUCUCCUAUUAAACUCAACAAAUGAUGAAAAAGACCUCUGCUUCGAUGAUUAUAGAAUUAAAAUUAGAGACUUUCCCACUGGGUAUAUAUAGAUUUUAAACCACAAGUACUAGAAAUUCUUGAUGUUUUAUACAACACCUACUCUGAGACUUGCCAAUCUUGAAAAUGCCUCAUUCUGAGCUUGAGCAAGUUUUAUAUAUAUAUAUGUUUUAUUAUAGUUUGCUCUUGCCUUCUCAUGAUUUAUCAAUAUGUAAGAAAAUGCUGCAAAGUGAAAUAAAAACGACUUACCAGAGGGAAAGAGUCAAUAAAAUCAAACCUCAUUUGCCUACGAGAUAAUCAUGCAUUGACACUGAAGGUGAAUGAUCAUUUAGUAUCAAUUUGUCGAUAAGAAAGAGUCGUACUUCUAACUUCAUAUAAUAUAUACAUUUACUUUGAGAAGAAAAAAGAAAACUUAAAAAUGUUCUUCUUCUGAUACUUCUCUUUGUUCCAUUCCACAACUCAAUAAAUCAAAACUUUGAAAAGCUGUACAUCAGAAAAUAAAAAUGGUCUUCAAAUUAGUAACUCUCAAACCACAAUUAACACUAACCACAUCAGGCCUGCAGCAGUAAUAAAUCAUGGUGUUUUUCAUAUAGUGCAGACAAGCUUGCCAGUCAGGGCCUAAACUUAAAAAAAGACAGUUGCGUGCACAAAAUCCAAAUGAAUUUGAAAUACCUGAAACGCAAACGAUCAAUGUAGAAAGUUAAACACAAGGUGAUAGCAGAGUUAAUGGAUUAACAAGAUCAAUAAGAAAUAGCAUGUUCGACAGCAAAUCAACAAAUGCCAAUACUGGAAACUUUAUACCUUAUCUCACUGUAACUUGGUAAUCUCAUUACAAAGGAAUCCAUGGAAUGCCAUACAAGGCAUUCCAUGUAAUUAUGAAUUCCAAAGUGAAAAAAACAAAACAAAAUGAGAAUUAGAACUUCAACAUUUAAAACUCGAAAAAGAAAGAAAAGUAUGGGUGGUUAGCCAGUUUAUAUACAACAAAGGACAUAUUACAUACCUGCAGUCGCCUAUCUUAAUUUAUUUGCAUCCAUAAAAAACUUAUCAUUAUGCAGCAUUGCUCCCACUCGGCUCUUCAAUGUCUUUAUUUAAAAGUUUCAAAUUCAAACUAUUAUCAUUGGCAUCAAUUUCUUUAGUAUAAAGAGGACAUAUUCCACACUCUUUCACCAUGACAUCUGAUUUAGGAUAUCAGAGGUAACCAUGUUUGCUGAACUCAAAAGUGAAGUUGUGGGCAUCAAAGAGCCAAUUAUCAAUGCUAGCAAAGUCCAAGUGAUAUUUCCUUAUGAAUGUGUGAUCUUGGAUGACUAACCUACUUCCAUCCUUUGAAAAGAAAUGGUAUUUUAUCUCGGCAUAGUUAGCGAGAAUUUGCGUGCCACCAUCAGCUUCAAAUGUUAAUCUGCACGUAAAGCUACCACUUCUUGCUAUUGCAUCAUCCAUAUCCCGACAUUCCAAAACAACAGACAGGGCAAAACCAACAAGCCUGCUAUUACUUAGCCAGUCUGGAGACUCCAUUUUCAUUGCUACCAAACUCCUGUACAACGAUAAGGAAACCAACCAGGAAUUGCACUCCCAGGAAAACAAAAGAACACAGAUCUGUAUGCAUCCUUGGUGAUCCUAAGCCAUGUUUCAGCCCCAAUAUUACUGCAAGCAGUUUCAUCUAGUUCUUGACUAUUGGUGAAAUGAAAUAUGAAGUUGUCCUUAUCGGAAUUUGAUGGGAGUUCCAACCUUGAAUUUGGAAUUAUUUUUCUAACGGACGGGCAGUCAUACGCCAACAACUGGUUUAGAGAUGAUGGAAGUUGUGGGAUACAUUCAAGCCUUUUGCAAUCACUUAAAUCAAGUGGUUUUAAGCUUGAGAGAUUAGCUAUGCUCCCUGGAAGGUUCACAAUACUGCAACAACCAGAACAAUCAGGCUCAGAUAGAUAGUUUAGAUUAGCAAUGCUAUUUGGAAGUGACACCAGAUCACUGCAUAACUUCAGGCACAAGGUUCGAAGUCCAACCAAAUAAUCCACAGAUGAAGACAGUUCCUUAAUUGCUGUUUUUGUCAAGUUAAUGUGAACAAACGUUUCCGCAGGCUCCAAGAUCUCUGGGAAGGUCUUCAGCAUUGAGCAACCAUGAAAAUCAAGUUUUGUCAGCUUCAAUUUGAAAAUACUGCUUGGAAAAGUUUCAAGUGAUUCACAGCAGAUAAGGGCUAACUUGCUAAGUUUGCCAAGACUUCCAAUGGAAGACGGAAUAAUCUCGAGCUUACGACACCAGCGCAAGCUCAAUUCUUCAAGCCCAACCAAAUGGUGCAAGGAUGAAGGUAGUUAUUUGAUUGCUGCACUGUUUAAGACAAGAACCGUUAAACUUUCUACAGUCUCCUUAAUCUCACCAAACUUCUCCAAAUUAAAGCAGCCACAAAGGUAGAGUCUUUUUAGAAAUUUUAACUUGAAGAUUUCAGUUGGAAGGCCAAGAGGGAUUCACAGUAAGAGAGAUCUAACCAACAAAGCUCAUUAAGACUUGGAAAUAAUGAGGGUGAACCUUCUCCCAACACUUCUAAGUUUAGUAAUUGCAUAUUAUCUUCUGGUUCUUUAUUUAACUCAACACAAUCUAGGAUUGAAAAAAUAAUUAUUUAGAUGUUCUGGUGUGAUCUCUACCAUGAGAACUAUUAUAUGUUAAGAUGGAUAUUCCUAACAGAUUUAUUCAUUUAUCUAUCGCACAUUAUUGUCAUCCAACGAUUUUAAGUCUAAACUAUAAAGUAUUAAAUUUCUUACUAAACUAAUUGGUAGUUUAGCUUAUCAAAUCAUAAUUGGAUAUAAAGAGAGUGUCAUAUUAUGCAACAGAAACAUUUUAUAGAAACAAAACAAGGAAAUGUGUUUUUCAAUAAAGCUGCAAAAGGAAAAACAAAACUUGAUUCAAGUUUGACUAAUUAGUAAAACGAAUGCUUGAAAUCAACUCCACAAUAGUAAUAUCAAAUUGCAAUUAAACUAGGUUUUUUGUGAGUGUGUGCGUGCGAGCAAGUGUGCGUUGAUUAUUUAAUUCAUAAAGAUACAAGAAAUAGUGCAUCAUAUAUAAGACAUUUUAUUGAAAAUAGAAAUUCAUUAAGACUCAUCAUCCAAAAUCCAUUAUAAUUGAAGUCUUAAAGACUUACAACAACAAUUUAUUGUGGAUUUUCUUUGUGAGUAGAAAUAAUAGAGAUUGAACAAGAAGCUUGGAUAGAAAUUGAACUUGGAUUAUUGGCUCAAGGAAAUCUUGUGGGUUGAUCAUUUUAUUUUGAAGGAUUAAUUGAAUUCUAAGGAAUAAAAUGUAUCCUUCUUUAUUCUUUUUCAAUAGAAGCAUGGACAAAGAUUAAUCAAAGUGUUGUAUUGCCAAAGGAUUCCUUAUUUAUUUGUCUGUUGAUAAAGUGAUAAUGUUUUUUGUGAAUUAUCAAUUUAAUGCCAUGUUUUUUGUGAAUGUGUACGCACGUGCGUGCGAGCAAGGGUGCUUUGAUUAUUUAAUUCAUAAAGAUACAAGAAAUAGUGCAUCAUAUAUAAGACAUUUUAUUGAAAAUAGCAAGUCCAUAAGAGUUAUCAUUCAAAAUCCAUUAUAAUUGAAGUCUUAAAGACUUAUUACAACAACAACAGAGGCAUAAAUGCCAUUGUUCAGAAACACAAAUAAGGCAUAUAUGUCAUUGUUGAAAUACAUUAGAAUCGAAAGCAAGCUCACAACUUGAAGGGCUCCAAGCAAGAAUUCCCUUCAAUUCAAGCCCUUUUGCAUAAAAGUGUGUCAGGAACUCCUUAAGGGUAACCUUUUUAUAUAACACUCCACUCAUGGAAGGCCCUUUGAAUCUGGUCGAUUACUUCCACACGCCGAGUUGGAAUAGUGUGAAUGUCUUUAUAGUCUAUUGUAGGGAAACACCAGUUAGAGUCACUACCAGAUUUUUCACCGAUGUCCAACUUUCCGCCUCCGGUGUGGAACAUACUGGGAACGGAUCUGUUUUUUCAGAAGCAAGCCCUUCACUCCUGCUUUUGAAUUGUCAAAAGCAAUACUAGGAACGAAUCUCUUCUCUCAUAAGCUUCUUGUUCAUGAAAUGAAUGAAUUCCUUCGAUCAUUUCAUCCAGCCCUAGCGCCUCAGACAAUAGCUCAAAUAUUUUCAAUCCCAUGUCAUUAACUUUCUGAGAAUAUUGUAUCAUUAUAUCCCUGCAAUUAAACAAUAAUUAUUGAAAAAACUUCAGUUAAUUCGAAAAUUCACAAACAGAAAGGCACUCUUGCUGUUACAAACAGAAGCUUAGGAUGAAAAACUACUAAAGCAUAUAACAAAGUAUGGUCAUGGAUGUAAACAUGACAUUUUUAAAAACUACCAAGGCAUAUAAGAAGUGUCAUAAAACUACAAGACAAUUUAAAAACUUCUAAGGCAUAUAACAGACAUUUUAAAAUGACUAACAGACAUCUUAAAACUACCUGCAUAUGGGAGGUAGAUCCUCUGGUUUGAAGGGAACUGGAGCAGCAGAAUAUGCAAUUGUAUCUCUCCAAUUUGCAGGUUGUCCACUGAAUAGGGUUGCAUUGGAGUAAUACCUAACAUUUUUCUUAAAAUCUCUAUUAUAAUACACUCUUCUCUCAGAAGCUUCUUGUUCAUGAAAUGAACGAAUUUCUUCGAUCAUUUCAUCCAAGACAUAGAUGGGGAUUUCAUGAUUAAUCACUUGAAAAAAUCCCCACUCAUUGCAGGCUCUUUGAAUCUGGCCAAUGACUUCCAAUCUCCGAGUUGGAUCAGUGUGAAUGUCAUUGAGGUCUAUUGUAGGGAAACACAAGUCAGAGCCACUAGACGAGUUUUCGCCGAGGUCCAACUUGCCAGUGUGGAACAUGCUAGGAACAUGAGUUAUUCCAGACUCUAGCAAGCCCUUCACUCCAGCUUGUGAAGGAUCUGGAACAUUCCUGAAACCUUCGACACUUCAGACUCUAACAAACCUCUAACUGGUUUUUUUUUAAUUUUCAAAACUCAUCAUGUUGAGAGAGGCCUCAAGUGGUUUUUUUUCUCCCCUAGUUCUGUUCUGUGUUAACUUUAGAAUACCAUUUCCCCUACCUCAUUUUUUUGAAAGAUGCUCUCCCCUUACCUCUUUUUAUUGUGGAUACAGUUGUAAGAUGCUCUCAUUUCUUCUUUAGUCUAUACCAUUUAAUUUUUGAAUGAGUGAUGUUCCAUUAAAUUUGUUAGGCAUAUGUGCUAUACAGUUAUUACCUAGUGACAUGUAUAUAUCAAGACUUUGCGUUAUUUUCAAAUUCUAAUUUUAGCUAUGGUGGUCCUAUUUCCCUAUGUCAUCAUUAAAACCAAGCCUACACAUUUGAAGGAGUUUUUAUUUUUAUUUUUAUUUUUAUUUUCAUUUUGACAAAAAAAAAAAAAAAAAAAAAAAAACAUCUUCAUUCAAUUUGAAAACCGAAGGAAACAUACAAGUUGAUCAAAACUAAUCUUUUGAGACAUUCACCAUCUACAUAACAAUAAACUAUUUAUUUUGUUAAAGUUAUUUAAAUGUUUCAAAUCAAUUCUCUUUAUUUUGAUAAAGUAAUUAAAUUAUUCAAUGUUACAAAAAUAUAGAAAGCAAUUUUGCAAAUUUUGAAAUUUAUAAGAACCAAUAUAUAACUUUGAUAAUUUAUACAUACCAAUUUAUAAAUUUUGAUAAAGUAAUUUUGGAUUAAUUUGUAUUUUAUGCAAACUAAUACCUUUAUUAUGUUUACUUAUGAAACGUGUUUUCUCCAAUGUGAAAAUUUUGAGGGGUCACUUUUUAGGUUCAUUCAUUUAAUAAUGUAUGUGGUUUAUAUGUUGGGUCACAUACAUGAUUAAAUGAAUGAACCUAAAAAAUCAAUUUUAUUUUAUAUUUAAAAACGGAGUGAAUCCCUAUUAAUAUUAAUUUCAACGACACAAUAAUUUCAUUUGCUAAAAAGUUUGUUAGUGGUUAGGUGAAUUGAAUUGCUAAUAGGUACUAGUAAUAAAGACAGAGUAUUAGAAAUUGUAGUUAGGUGAAUUGAAUUGUUAAUAGGUAAUAGUAAUAAAGAUAAAGAGUAUUAAAAAUUGUAGUUCGGUGAAUUGAAUAGCUAAUAGGUACAAUAACAAAGACAAAGAGUAUUAGAUUUUGUAGUUAGUUAGGUGAAUUGAAUUGCUAAUAGGUACUAGUAAUAAAGACAAACGGUAUUAGAAAUUGUGGUUGGAUCUAACUCGAAAUUAUAUUACUAUUAAUAAAGAUAAAGAGGUACUCGUAAUAAAUACAAAGAGUUAGUUUUACAUCUGCGCUAAUAGUGAAUUGUUGAAUUGCUAAUAGGUACUAGUAAUAAAGAUAAAUAGGAUUAGAAAUUGUGGUUGGAUCUAACUCGUAAUUAUAUUAUUAUUAAUAAAGACAAAGAGUUAGUUUUACAUCUGCGCUAAUAGUGAAUUGAAUUGCCGAGAGGUCUUGGUAAUAAUGUUUUUUGUGAAUUAUGAAUUUAAUGCCACGUUUUUUGUGAAUGUGUGCGCACGUGCGUGCGAGCAAAGGUGCUUUGAUUACUUAAUUCAUAAAGAUACAAGAAAUAGUGCAUCAUAUAUAAGACAUUUUAUUGAAAAUAGAAAUUCAUUAAGACUCAUCAUCCAAAAUCCAUGAGUAAUGGAAGACACUCCUAAAUCGGAUGGAAGGACAGAAGGGUACGAUGGUUAAUGGAUCCUGGAGCAAACGACUAACAGGAAAUGGUACGACACUGCAAUCCAACUCGUCUUUAGAUGUGGACCGGUUUGAAACCAUUGCUAAGUGUGUGUUCCACGGGGAUCGAUGAAGAUGCAAUUUGGCUAAGGCAGGAUUAGAAAUUAGGGUUUUCCAAGAUUUGCAAACACAUUUGAAUUGCAUAAGAGUUUUGACAGGAAGUCGUGAAAGGAUGUCUGUGAUGAGUUCAUCAAGGAGAACUAACGUCGGAGCACCGCCGUUUGAAUGCUGAGACUUUAGCGGAGGAUCGGAAUUCGUCAUGAGAGGCGGUUGUGUUGUGUACGGUGGUGAGUAUGAAGAUUGCAGUGAUGUUGUUUGGUGUUCAAAAUGGAGCAGACUCUACAGUUCUUCCUCCGCUUCACAUAAACUUAAUUAAACAACGUCGUGUUGGUAUGCACGUGAUUUGGCUAAGAGGUGUGUUGUUAUUUGAACAACCAUUUGAGUGACCACCACUAUUUACAAAGAAAAGUAGAUAGUGACACGGAAACUAAAGUAAUAGAGAGAGAAAGUAAAAAAAUAAGAGCAAUAAUAUUUGUACAUCCAUUUGCAUGACAACUUUAGUGACAAUCUUAUUUUUCUCUCUUCUUAUGGGUCAAAAUAAUGGAGAGAGAAAAAGGAAGAGAGAGGAUAAGACUAUCAUAUGAGUAUUAGAGAUAAAGUUGUACAAAAGUUGUCACAAAUUGGUUGUACAAACAUCAUUUCUCAAAAAAUAAUGUGAGUAUGAGAGAUAAAGUUGUCACAUAGGUAAAAUGAUUGUGAAAAUAUCAUUUCUGUUUGGCCGAAAUAUGGUCUUUCACAAUACAUAAGUAAUUUUCUUGUAAAAAAAAAAGUAAUUUCCAUUAUUUUUUUUAGGAAAACCAAAAUAUUAGUUUUUUUUUUUUUUCUUUUGAAAGAACCAAAAUAUUGUUUGUUUAUUGUAUUUUUUUGUUUAUUUUAAACUAUAAAAAGUGUUGUCCCGACAGAAAGAAAAAAAAGUGAGAUAGGUUUUGCUCAAUACUACCUCCUUCCCUAAAUAGUAAAUAUAUAACUUUUAGUUAAAAUAACAUGUAUUAAAUUAAGAAAGUUGUUAGUCGUAUUAAAUUUAUAUAAUUACUAUUGUUUUUAUAAAUUUUUCUUUGAGAGGAAAAAUUAGUUUAUGUUUUAAACAUAGUAUUUAUUGUUGAUUGAAGAAAAAAUGCAAAAUAAUUAAGGGUAUUGUCGCGUCAUUUUUUGGAGAUCAAAGCUAUUUGAUUAGCUUUUAACUCACUGAUUAUUUCACGACUGAACAUUUAAUUUUUUAAGAAAAAGGGGAAAAAAGUUCAAAACUACCCCAUUUGAAAAAAAAAAUGGGUUCGGGGUUAGUUACAUAAAUGAAAGGUAUUAGCACCUUUUAUGUUCGUAGUACUCUACGGCAACCUCUUGAUUUUAUUUAAUUAAUGUGCUAUAACUUUCUUGCUUAUUUUGAAAAUAAGGAAUUAAAGUGGAAAAUGACGUUUGAUUUGUUGAGUGUUUUUUAUUAGUUUUGAAAAGGGUUUUAAAAUGAAAAGGCAAGUGGCAAAUAAUAAUUAAUGUUGAUUGCAAUUUUGAUUUAUGAAAGAAUAAAAUCAAGAGGAUCACUUGAUUUAGGAUCAAGGUUUGUUUAUGAAAAUGUUUUUGAAGUUUUGUACUAUUUGCAUGUUUUCGUUGUUUUUGAAUAAUUGGACUAAAAUUAAACUAACAGAGCAUAAAAAUAAAACGUAGGACCUUUGACCUAAACUACUAAGCAUAAAAGUAAACAUACACGCACACAUGCACCUAAAACUAUUUCAUAAAAGCCUAUUAUACAUUCUAGGGUCUGCAAAAAACGAAAAUAAAGAAAUAAAUUACAUUAGAGCCUAAUUACAUUCUAAACCGCUAUAAAAUAAUUUAAAGAUGCUAAAAUAAAAAAAGAAUGCAACAUGAAAUGAAAUGAGAUGCAGUGAAAUAAAUAAAACUAAAAUGCAUAGAAAAUGAACAAACCAGAAAAGAAGCAAAUAGAAAAUGCAUGUGUGUGUGUGUGUGUGUGUGGGGGGGGGGGGGGGGGGCAGCAGUAUAAAAGGGGGUGCAGGAAUUAAAGGGAAGGCCGGGUUCGGUUCGGUUCAGACUUGGGUCGGGGUUAAAGGAACCGAACCGGCUCAAAGAAUAUAUAAAGGUGGUUAAAAGAACCGAACCGGUUCUGAAUGCAUUGUUCACCAAGGUCAAGGUGUUUCCUCAAUAGGGAAUCAGGUAAUUUAUUUGCCAUGACUCUUCUUCUGACUUAAUAAUUUUACUCAAGAAUGACACUGUAAAAUGCUUUCAAUUUUCCAGUUUUUUGCUGGGUGAAUCACAAACUGGGAAAGCACUCUGGCAGAGUAUACAUUAUGCAUGCUGACAGCUGAAUAAGCUGAUGACAGUUUAUAUAUAAGCUCAUGUACAUUAAACAAAGCUUGCAUUCAUAGACUUCAACUAUAUAACUCAAUCUAUGUAAGAACUUAAAUACAAUAAAUGAUAACAAUUAUAUAAAAUGAAACUUUCUUAGGAACAGAUUCUACAUUAUAUUAGAAAAAUCCACCAUAGUUGUGUUCCUGCAUUACUCAUUAUCAGUCUGCUUUAGUGAUUGAACAAGGGUAGUGAUAUUGUGGUAAAGAGGAUUCACACUCUUGAACUGCUCUACAGUUUUUCAUGCAUUUAUUUUGCUCAUUUUCUGAUCAUUCCACGAUCCUCCUCACAGCUUUUUCAAUUCAUUCCCGACUCACCACCUUGUUUAGUGGACCAAACGGACCAAACGGUGAUAAGCUCCACUCACAUGAACCAACCUCCACUUCAAGCCCAUGAUCCUUAGUAACCAAAGGGCAAUAAUCUCCACUCACAUGGACCCACCACCAUCCGAAACCCAUGAACCUCAGGAACCAACCUCUCAUUCAAAAACUUGGUCACUAAAUCUGGGUAUGCAAAUCAACUAUUGUUGUAUCAACAUAAAAAUUGUUCUAGGUUGGUUGAUUGGGGUUAUAUCAAUAUCUCCCUUAUAGUUGUGCGAAGGGCCAAAUCAUCAUUCUACGGUUGUCCAUGGACUUUUAAGAUAUUUGUUUUCUUCAUUUGCUUUGAUGGUUUGGAUAUGUUUCAGUAAUAAACACCAUUGUAGUUUAGUUAACUCAAAAGUAUUGUAUAUCUAUGUCAGGUUUGUAUUUUUUAAUUGAUCACGAGGUAUACAAAAUCAUUGUUAGCCAAACAGAAAACUACUUCUAUGAUUAAAAAUAAAGAAACCAUGUUAAAGUAUUGAAUGCGGAUGAAUAAGAAUAAAAUUAAAAUUAAGAUUGUCAAAAAGAAACAAAAGACCAAACACCUUACUUGAAUGCUUUGGCGUUGAGCAUCAGAAUAAAUAUUGGAAAAGGUGUAGUGACCAAAAUGAAUAUAGACCAAACACCUUAGUUUUGGUCGAUCUUGUAUUAUUAGAAGUUGAGAAAAUGAGAGAUGUAGAAUAUGAUGAAAGCAACUGAAUGUCGUAAAAUGAUUUUCAUUGAGUGAUUCUGUUACUAUUGAGGCUAGUGUGACGUAAUAACCUGUAAGGCAAGCUCCUCACUGGUUGCAAACAUCAACAGAGACACUAAGCGCAAAAUCUAUAUAUAAUACUCCUUUUUUUGGAACAGCUUAUAUUAUUAUCACCAACUUAUACGAGAAGUACAAACUGUAGGCGAAGGCAAAAACGCCAAAAGGAAGCAAUAUAGGGCUGCGGCAAGCGCAGGACUAAGGCCAAAAGGCAACUUCCAAAACAAAAAAGCUGAAAACCCCCAAAACAGCUCCCUACACCAGCAAAACAGCAGGCCAAAAACGCAAACCUGCCACAUUACAGUAGCAGAAAUCCUGCUGAAACCAGCAGCCAGCAACACCAAGAGUCCCGGACACCUCUAAAACUACCCCAACUAUCUCAAUAAACAUUCCUUGGGGUUCCAACACCACUCGUAAUAGAGGCACGGAGGACUCUUUAGUCUAGACACCGCCCAAUUCCACGAAACAAAGUUUUUUCUUCCCAAUCUCCCCACUCCAACAUUCAAAAUGUUGAAACAGAGAUUGAGGUGUAAUCAACCACACACCAACCACACUUUGAAUAUCAAAUGACAAUUAAGGAAAAGAUGUGCCGGCGUUUCUUCCACAUCUUCACAAAACACACACCUAAUCGAAAACUCCAUUGGUAACAUUUGCCGCCUAAAGAGAUUAACUUUGGUAGGAAUACGGUCUAGGAGCAAUUGCCAAGAGAAAACCACCAAUUUAGAGGGCGCCGGACUUUUCCACACCGACUCAAACAGCAAUUUUUUAGUUGCCGUCAAAGGCUCAUGGGGCAUAACCAAUUCCAGAAGAAACCGAAAACUUCCCUUCCUCCUCCAACUUCCACCACCAAUAAUCAACCGACCCCAUUUUCACUCAUCCCUCCACCUCAUCAAGGAGAUUUUGUAAUAAACUUUCUUCCCACGCAAAAAGAUUUCUCCUCCAAAUUAGAUUCCAAGCACCUCCUUCCUCUCCAUCCGCCCAAACUUCCCCCACCAUAGCAUCUUUUUGACUAGAAAUAGAGAAAACCUCGGGUAUGCUAGGCAAAGUGCCUCAUUACCCACCCAAAUAUCUAGCCAAAACCUAGUACUCUCCCCAUUCCCCACAUUCCUCACCACCUCCCUAUUAAACCAAUUCACCCCCAUCGCUCCCUAUAUAUACUACUCCUGAAUUCAAGAAAAUUCAUACAGAGAAGGAGAUAAUGCCUUUAAGCCAUCAGCACAUGAUCAAAUACAUGACUGUGCAUAAAUCAAAGUUAUUUACUAAGGACCCUGUACCUGCGAUCUGCACCGGGACCUAUCCCUGCACCCUCGCAAUGGCUUCACUACUGGAUAAAAUGGAGUCUGAUUGGGUGAAAAUGGUUGAUAGCAGGAGCAAUUCAAAACGAUGUAAAAAUUCGCAGACAAUGUCAAAGAAAGAUAACCCAACCAUAGAUUAUUAAUAUUUAUAUUAUGCAAAUCUUAUCCAACUGAAAAUAUUCUUAUUAUACCCAAAUGGUAAUCCAAAAUGUGUGCUUGAAUCACUUAAAAGAGUUGGAGACUUUCAUUGACCCUUACACUACUAAUAGGAAUACAACUGUAAAACAGCACAAAUAGAGAGGCUAAUUUCUAUAAACACUUUCAAAAAAUCCAAAAGAAGCAUCAAGAAAGCCAUAAAUAAAUGACCAAAAGCAUUUUUAUGCUUAAUAUCUACAUGGAUAACCUAGUUGUUAACAUGGUAAUUGUGAUAUGGUAACUCAAUUUGUUCAAUUAGAAAUCAGUUGGAAUUCAAUCCAAAGUCAUGUUCACCAGUAAGUAAAAACAAGGGGUGGUUCCGUUCAGCCAGUAUGAACGUUUAUACAAUACAAACCCAUGUUGUCAAAUUUCCACAGGGGCUUUAUGUGUCACCAACCCAUUGUCUUGUUUCUCGAUUGAACCUUUCAGAGUAAAUGGGUAUAAUUUGGAACAACAAAACUAAAUUGCAACUUACAAAUAUUGAGCAUGAAAGGAAAAAAAAAAAAAAAAAAAAUAUAUAUAUAUAUAUAUAUAUAACAGACAAAUUAAAGCGUGUAAUAUUGAUCAGCUACAUACCUGGGCAUUGUGAUUUGUGAUGGUGAGCACUCCAGCACAAAUCCCCUCAGCCAUUAAUUCCAACCACAAUUACAGGAUGUUUCAAGAUCAACCUCUGUGGCACCCUUCUCACCACCAUCCCUCUCGUGAAUUGAAAUUGAAACCCUCUUCUGUGCACAAAACCCUUCAUCAUCCACAGGACUCAAUCCCAAUCCCUGCCUCCAAAUACUGCUCCUUAUUGAGACAACAGAGAUUCACAAAGCAAAUAUAAACCACCGAAUUGGCUUCCCUCGAGUUGAGCCAACUCAAACACUCAUCAUCAUCACCAUCAUCAUAAUCAACGCCAAACAUAAGGAAAGUAAUUGCAUUUGGUAAAAUUACUUUAAUUGAGUGAUUCUGUGACAGUAUUCAUAUUUAGACAACCUGCCAAAAUUAGGCUAGUGUAAUAGUUGCUAAUAUAAAAAUCGCCUAACAGCCUGUGAGGUAAGUUUGUCACUGGUCGCAAGGAAUCUACAGAGAUACUUGCAACAAUACACUACUUGUAUAUUAGUCCUCGAGUAGUACCAGUUUUUCGUGAAAAUUCAUGCAUUUCAAGCUUAAAACACAAAGCAAGAAACUGAAGAAAAGAAAAAGUAUAGAAAUCAAAGUCAGUUGCCGAGGACCCUGUAAUUGUACCUGCACCUCUACCAUGGAUUUACUACCGAAUAAAAUAGUUAAGUGCGUGAAAAUAGUUGAUAGCAAGAGCAAUUUAAACCCUAGGAAAAAUUCAUAGAUAAUGCCAAAGAAAGGCCAUCCAACCAUGCUAUUGAUAUUAAAUAUCGUACGCAAGUACAAAAAUAUUACUAAUAUACUCAAAUGGUCAUGCAAAAUGUGUGCUUGAAUAACCAAGUGUUAAAGACUUCCAUUAGCCCUUACACAAAUAAGAGUACAGUUGCAAAACAACAUAUAUUUUCUGGUAAAUUACUACAAACACUUUCAAAGAGGGCCGUAAAUGUCUUAUACAAAAUGAGUACUAAAACUGAAGAAAAUGUAGAUCCAAUAAGACUCUUUUUCCCUUUCUUCCUGCCAUCCUGCAACAACCGUCAAUAAUGCCAGAUGUGCUUGAAGUUGAGGUUGUGGUCCUGUGAUUCAAGAAAGACCCGUAUUACACAGGAGUGAGAAACAUCUAAAACAAAAUAUAGAACAAAAACACAGAAAAAACGAAUGCAUAAUCCUCAAAAGUGAAGCCACAUUCCAUUGUGAAAAAAAUAAGAGAGAAAUCAGCUUCAAGUUUGAUGCCUAAAAGCCAAUACCACAGGUGACAAGACAGUUAUGAUAUAAAAAGGUAGAUUUGACUACAAUAUCAUUAUCAAGUACAAAAAUAAAAAAAUCAUCGUGUUCAAAAUUAGUUUGGAUAUACUAGAACCCAAGGUAGUCAGGAACGAGUCCCAGCACGUAGGAUCACACGAUCUUACGUGCCACAGCACCUCGACCGUGCUUCGAUCCUACUUACGAACUGUGUUUUCUCUGUUUUGCUUUGUUUCCUCUGUUUUUUGCCGUUUUUUCCUCUGUUUUUCUCUGUUUUAUUGCUUGGUUCCUCUGUUUUUCCUCUAAUAUCUCUGUUUUUAUGAUUGGCUCCCCUGUUUUCCCUCUAUUUUCCCUAUAUAUUUCUCUCAAUUCUAUCGACAACCUAUCGAUCCUACUUACGAACCGUGUUACGUUCCUCGUGUUUACGUUCUUUCACCGGCCGACCGAUCCUACGCUGGAACUCGUUCCUGACUACAUUGAGAACUGGUAUAAACAAAACGAAACCAAGAAUAAAUCAAAUGUAUGUGUGUGUACAAUACAAUUACAAAGUAUAAGUAUAGCACAAUCAUUAUCUAUAACAAAGUUUUGAAUUAUAUGAAAUUAAAUGUCAGUUUGAUGAGAAAAUGAUGUUUCAUUUUCUCAUCUAUCUAUAGAUCAAUAAAUUUGCCCAAGUCUAAAGAUAGUUGUAACCAACCUAUUGACAUGUUUCACGCUUUAACAUUAGACUCUACUACUUUUUAAGACUUUUUUCCCUGCAUUUCAAUUUUAAUUAAUGUUUUAUCCUCCCAAAUUGAGAACAACUUCAUACAUUAGUUUGGGAUAAAAUGUUCUGAAUAGCAGCCAAAUAAAGAUCAUUCAAGAGUCGUUGAAUUUCGUUUUGGGAGGACCGAGGACCAUCUUUAAGUUAUAAUAAUAUAUAAAAACAAACUCAUUCAGUUCAAUGAUUAUAAAACACUUAAAAUUAAUUCAAACAAUUAAAUCAUUGAAUAGAAACUUACUCUCAAAAGAUUGAAACUAAGCUUUCAACAUAAUCCUUGGUAUGAAACCACAAUAUUUCAUUGUCAACAGAUGUAAUUUGCUCUACCGUUUUAUCUCUCCAGUUAUAGAUAAUUGCAUGGUUGUCAUAACCAUCGUAGCCUUGUUGAUUGCUUGCCAUUAUAAGUGUGUUGUCACUCUCAGAAAGGUAAAAUGGAUACAAAUACAAUUGAGAACCAUAGUCCAGUGAAUCACUAAUGCCAUAAUCAAUUUGAAGGUCCUGAAAACUAAUUUUGAGGAAUUGAGUCCAAGAGUCUUGAACUCCGUACUCCAUCAUCAACCAUAAAACAAAAUGGGUCUCCUUGGAACGGUGAGAAAAACAUAGACAAUCCAUCAAUACAGUAACAGCUGGAUCAACAGGUGGUACAUCAACAAAUCCCUGAGGUGGCCGCAAAUGUUGGUACGUCUCGGUAGUCAGAUCAAGUGAGAGGAUGAGAAAUUGAUCAAUUGAAAUAUCAUUCCACUCAUAUUCGGUCUUAUUUUGAAUAGUCAACCAGUUAAUAGUGCCACUCACAUAAACACCAUUAUUCACAUAUGGAUGACAACGACUAGCAUCAAUAUCAAAAGGAACAAUGGGAAAAUUCGGAAUAUCUCUCCAAAUAUUAUCACUCAAACUAAAAAGUUUGACCUCGUCUGCAGAAAAAGCCACCACCUUAUAAGUGUCAUUUGAAAUAUCAUAUCCAAAUGUUAACCUGAAAAACUCGUUUAAACACCCUAAUUCUUCAGAUAAUGUGUUUGUGGCUGGGUUCCAAAAACGAAACCAAUCAUGUUCUUCCUCCUCGUAUAUUAAAGAAUAACAGCGUAAACAGUACAAUCCAUUACAGGAACCAAUGAUGAUACAACAAUCCAUAUUACCCAAUACGUAGUAAGGAUCAUCAGGAAUGGCGACAUUCCUCAAUAGGUGGUAAGGUUCGAAGGGUGUGAUUGUUAACGGAGCCUCAAUCAAAUGACUUACCGGAAAGGGUACGACACUGAAAUUGGACUCGUCGUCAGAUGACCGGUCUGAAACCAGUGUGAGGUGUGUGUUCCGCGGCGAACGCUGAAGAUGGAGUUUGGCGAAGGAAGGAUCAUGAGAAAUUAGGGUUUUCCAUGAUUUGCAAACACAUUUGAAUUGCAUAAGAGUUUUGACAGGAAGUCGUGACAGGAUAUCCACGAUGAGUUCAUCAAGGAGGAGAGAUGUUGGAGCCCCACCGUUUGAUUGCGGAGGAUCGGAAUUUGACAUGAGAUGCUCGUGACUAGGAAGAUUGCAAUUGAUUUGUUGUUGUUCAAAUUUGAGAUUUUUUAUUUUUUGGGUUAAUUUGAGAUUUGAGAUUGAACUACAGAAGUGUUAAAACACUAAUGAACAUUAGAGCAUAUCCAGGAGCAUUGAUUUGUUGCCUUACUUAGCCAUAUUAUUUUGAGUAGUGCAAUAUCCAGGAAGGAUAAGCACAACGAACAUCCCGAAACAACAUCUGGAUUUUAAUUGGUAGUCAAACUUUCAAUUUUCUUAUUUGGUGGAAAACAUGGUCAACAUCCUCUCCAUUUAUAAAUUUUUUUAUUUGUUGCAAUUUAGAAAGAGAUAGAUACAAAAAAUAAGUUGUGGGUCCUAUCACUAAGUGGGUUCCACCAUCAUUAAUUAUUUUUUACUUUUUAUGUGUCUUUAUCUCUCUAAAUGGAAUAAAUGGAGAAAUUUAUAGAUGGAGAGGAUAUUUACCCGAAAACAUGGGAGGAAAAUGGGAAAGUUUAGGAAAAAUACACCUUCGCUAUUUUUCACGAAAAUUGCAGUAUACACAACAUUACGCUAUUUUUUUUUUCUUUUUCUCAUGCAAUUGAAGGAGCAACUUUAUAUACCACGCAUGUAUUUUAACUAAAGGGUUUGUCUAACAUGUGCAAUAUUGCACAUGUUAAGGCAACUAAAAGUAGUAACUUUUCAUUGAAAACCAACAAUUAUUUAUUAAAAGUUACAUAUUUAAUAUAAAAAACACAAGUUCCAAGUCAAAGUUACUACUUUAAACUUCUUAUCAUGUGCAAAUUUGCACAUGAUAGAAAAACCCUUAACUAAAACCACGAAACUGGCUAUAAUAAAUAUCGCUCAGUAUAACAGUUUUUUAUUUUAAUGAAAAAAUAAUAAUUUUGUUGUUUUAGGAAAAAAAAUAUUUCCCUCAAAAUAUAAAGGAAAAAAAAUCAGAGUGGUGGCUGUGUGUUAUUCUUGAUUUUUGUUCAUCAGUCCUUGUAUUUAAUUAAUUUUAUCAAGUAUUUCCCAAUUCAAAAUUAAAUUAUUACUCUUUCUAGUCUCAUUUAUAAGACUUCUAAAAAAAAGUCUCAUUUAUAAGAGAAAUUUUGUUUUUUAUAUUUAUUUAAUAAAUGAUGUAUUUAAUUUUUAAUAAAGAUUAGAUAUAUUGUUUAUUGAACGAAUAUAAAAAAUCAAUUUUGUCUUGUAAAUUAUGAGAUCGGAUUAGAUAUAUUGUUUAAUUUCUAAUAAAGACACACUUUGAAUAAAACUUUCACAUGUUUAUUAUGUCUUUAAUGAAUUGGGGUCCUCCGUUAUUUUAUGUUUAUUUUCCACAUCAAAGUUGACUACUUGAUCAAAGUUGCCUACUUGGUCAUAUAAAUAUUGAUUGCGUUAGAAAAGGUUGUGUGCAGAAAAGACAGCACAAUCACCCUUGUUUCUUUUGUUGUGUAAUUCUCUUUCAAUAAGAAAGUGCUAUUUUGGUGUUGUUUUCCUCUCAAUAUGGUGGUAAAAAACACAAAUCAGUUAGAGGAAUCUACUAAUUCCACUUAUGAUAGAAAAACAGAAGUGAAAAAUUUUGAUGAUUCAAAAGCUGGUGUCAGAGGUUUGGUGGAGCAUGGGGUGUCAAAGAUCCCGCGCAUUUUUCAUACCGGUAAGUUGGAUAUCGGUGAAAACUCGGCUAGUGAUUCUAAAUUGAGUGUUCCCAUCGUAGACCUCAAAGAUAUACACAUCGAUCAAGCUCAGCGUGUCGAGGUAAUUGAACAAAUUCAAAGUGCAUGUCAUGUGGGUGGAUUUUUUCAGGUAAUUAAUCAUGAUAUUCCCAUUGAUGUCUUGGAUGAAAUGAUUCAUGGAAUCCGUAGUUUUCAUGAACAAGAUGUUGAUGUAAGAAAAGAGUUUUACACUCGUGAUUUAAAGAAAAAAGUUAUGUAUUUCUCCAAUGGAACCUUGUUUAGUGGCCAAGCUGCUAAUUGGAGAGAUACAAUUGGUUUUGCUGUUGCUCCUCAUCCAUUCAAACCAAAUGAACUACCAUCCAUAUGCAGGUAAUUAUGUUCUUGCACAACAAUUUCUAAUGAGUUUUCGUUGUAGUUCUAGAGGUUGAUUUAGGAAAAUACUAUUAAGGGAUUUGGGUUUCUUACAUGUUUUGCAGAGAUAGUGUGAUUAAAUAUUCCCAAAAAAUAAGGGAUUUGGGUUUCAUAAUCUUUGAGUUAUUGUCGGAGGCACUAGGACUUGAUCGUGAUUACCUCAAAGAGUUAAAUUGUUGUGAAGGACUCUUUAUUCAAGGUCAUUACUAUCCAGCAUGUCCUGAACCUGAAUUAACUAUGGGCACUGCCAAACAUACCGAUACUAGCUUCAUAACAUUACUUCUACAAGAUCAACUUGGUGGUCUUCAAGUUCUUCAUGGGGAUAAAUGGGUCAAUGUCCCUCCUAUACAUGGAGCUCUUGUCGUAAACGUAGGAGAUCUUCUACAAGUAAAUAUUACUUCCUCUGUUUCUAUUUAUAAAUACUAUUUCAGAUAAAAAGUUGUUUGAAAUAUAAACACUUUUUCGUAUUACUAUAAUCAUUUAUUAACUUUUUUUUCAAUUUUUUUUUAAUUAAUACUACUCCUUCCGAUCAUAUUUAUAAAAAAAAUUGAAUCAACAAAACUUGAUAUACUCAAUCCAAUUUUAUAACCAUAUACAUCAACUAUUGUAGACUCAAAUGCCUCUUAUAAAUAGAAUCCAAUUUUUUAACCAUAUACAUCAACUAUUGUAGACCCAAAUGCCUCUUAUACAUAGGACCAAAGAGAGUUUUGUUUUUAUUUUAGAAGAUAAAAAUUCAAUAUUAAAUGAUGAUUUAGUAUGCACUGACCUAAAUUAUCAAAUGUGUUAAACAUUCAUAUGAUUUUCCCUUUUCUCAAGUUAGUAUUAUAUUUUCCAUGCUAUAUGGUUCAGAAUUCAGAUAAUCUCCAUCAACCACUAUUUUCUGGCUUUUAUUAGACAUUUUUGAAUAGUUACAUAUAACUUCACCAUGUGUAUCUAAACUUUAUGCAUUUCAACAUAUCCUCUGUCUUUGUUUAUGUCAAUGAUUUGAAGUUGUGCAUAAUCUUUUAGAUAGUCCGUUUUCUUGUUAUUUUGAUUAUAGUGAACUGCAAUUACGGACUAGAAAUCAUAAUAAUAAAAAAUCACUGAUUUAUUCUUCAAUGAAAGUUUGUGAGAAUAAUUUAUCAUUUUCUUUUAUACGGUUGCAGCUUAUCUCAAAUGACAGGUUUGUAAGUGUUUAUCACCGAGUCUUAUCACAGAACAUUGGCCCAAGAAUUUCAGUAGCAAGCUUCUUUGUGAAUUCUCGUGAACCAAUUGAAGGUACAUCAAAGGUUUAUGGUCCUAUUAAGGAGCUCCUUUCAGAAGAAAACCCUCCAAUCUACAAAGACAUUACCAUAAAAGAUUUCUUUGCAUAUUAUUAUGCAAAAGGCCUAGAUGGAAACUCUUCCUUGGAGCCCUUCAAGUUGUGAAUUCAACAUGUGAGUGCACUUUCGACUGGUGGAGCUGGCAAUAGUAUAUCUAAAUAACAAUCCAUGUUUUCAACUAUAAGUGUAGUUUAUAUUAUCAAGUUUUUAAGACUAAAAUAAAUGAAUUAUCUAUUUCUUGUUGACAUUUUAUGAAAUAAUUGGAAUGAAUUAUUAUAAAUUAGAGGAAGUAUGUGACUAUAUUUUCACAUAUAUGAUGAGGUAAGGUAAUUACUAUCACUAGUUUUCAAACAAGAAUGAAGUAGAUGACAAAUUAGAUUAGAUGAGCUUGUUCAUUUUAAAAUAGUUAAAAAAAUAAAGAAGAAAAAAACCUAGUGUUGGUAAGAUAUGUACAAGAAGAUUAAUUGACCUUCUUUAACAUAGCAACCUUUUAGUGUGUACAAAGGCAUAGCAACCACAAUCUUGAGGAAGAAUUCCAAAGAGCUAAGAUCUUCAAUAUAAAAGUGUGAAUUUCGUCGACUAAUUUUUUUUAGUGUCAUCAGUUGUAAGACAAUAUAAACUGAUAAAACGGUAAUUAGCAUCCUUGACAAACUGAAAGUUUGUUUAAGUCGAUAGAAAAACUUCAAUAACUUGCUUGGAGAUUUUGCAUUGAAUAAAAGGAUGAUUUUGCUACUCUAACUUGCUUGAACAACUUCCGCUUCUAUUGGAGUAGCUACGCCUUGCUUUAAUAAAAAAUCAAAGAAAAAUGUUUGAGGGCACUAGUUAAGGAGGCUAAUUUAAAAAUUUUGCGUCAAAAAUUUGUUGUUUUCAAAUAAAUAUUUGUUGUUUUCCACAUCCUCCCAUACUUUUUCAUUUCUUCUCUUCCAAAUACACCAUAACAUCAUAACAAAAUCAACUAUAUGUUGUUGCUGCAAUUUUUCUUAAAUACCAAAAAAGAAAGAAGCAAAAUCUGCCGCAUUUAUCAUCAAAGAACGAAUGCUAUCCCACAAUCCGGUCGUUAUCCAUACCCCCAUCACCUUACUACAACCCAAGAAAAGAUGCCAUUUAUUUUCACAAUGAUCAUCACAAAAAGGACACACAUCCGUACGUUAAACUCCUCUCCUUUGAAGCAUAUCUCUUGUCGGAAAAUAUCCUCUAACAAGUAUGCACAAAAAGAUUUUUACUCUUUGUGGAAUUUUCAACUCCCAUAGUCCAUUCCAAUCUAUUAAUCAAAUCCUACCUCCAUUCAGGGCCGUCUUAACAAAUUCAUAGGCCCGGUUUUAAUUUUAUAAGGGAUGCAAAAAAAAUAAAUUCAGGGCCCCAAAAAAUUAAAUAAGUUAUUUAAAAAAAAAUAUUAGAAAUCACACUUUGGUGGGUCUUGAACACAUGACCUCACACUCAACAAAAAGUGGUCACGCCACUAAAGCAAGUUGUACAAAUUAAAAAAAUUUGCUUUUAAUAGAUAUAUAAUCAUUAUUUUCAUGUCUUACAUAUAAAAAAAAAAUUAUUUUGGGCCCCAAAAAAUUGGAGGCCCGGUGUUGUCGCCCAUCCUCGACGGGCUAUGGGCCGGCCCUGUCCAUGACUUUGCGCUUUGGUCUAUGAGAUUGAUACUUUCAUACAUUCACAACCUUGAAUCAAAGGACUUGUAAGGUAGGACUCUUACAUUCGCUUUAGCCAUGGUUCAGUCCACAUGUUGAUGAGUCGUCCAUCGCGUAGCUAUCACCUCAAUCCUUCCCUCAUUAUAACAUGUGAAGUAUGGAUACUACGCCAAAUAGAACUUGGGUUAUGGCCUACACGAACCUUAAAAAAAUCUACUUUAAGAAAAUAUAUAUCCUUGAAAACUCUUGAAACAAUAGUAUAUUGGUUGGUAAGAAGACGCCAACCUUGUUUCCCUAGCAUAGACAAAUUAAAACCAUAAACAUGACGAAAACCCAUACUUCCAUAUUCCUUCCGCAUUGUUAAUUUGUCCCCUACUCAACCAUUUUAUUCUCUUUCCUUGUCUUCCAUUUGAUCCCCGCCAAAAAGAAUUGACCAUUCUUUGGAUUUCCUCCCUCAAAGUGGAAGGAAGUAAAAACGUGCUCAUGCGGUAAGCAGGAAAAAAAUUGUGCAACUAACUCGAUUAAGACUUCUUUACCCACCUUUGAAAGAUGUUUUCCAGACGAUUGUUGUAUUAUUCUCCAAAUACAUCUUUCAAGUAGCCAAAUAACACCUUCUUUCUUCGUCCUACUAUACUAUAGAUGGUAGGCCAAGAUAUCUCCCCAAGCCAAAAGUCUCCGUUACAUGAAAAAUAGCCUUUGUUUCCUCUUUUAUAGCACUUUGGUUGUUCUUAGGAAUUAAUUGAAGUCAUGAGAAGUAUUUGAGGAAUGCUUGGCCUUCAGUAUACAUUGUAGAAUGUUAUAAUCAUAUAGACCCUAAUGCAACUGGGAAGAUGUUUGGUUCUUGUAGAUAUUCUAGUUUGAGAGGAGACAUAUGUAUUGUGAUCUUUUUUCUUUUUUUUGAGGGAAGAUGUAUUGUGAGAUCUGGUGGGCAAGAAAUGGUAACAUGGUGAUUUUCUCGAAAGGUCAAAAAAGAAUAGUACUAUUUGGAAAAUGUCAAGAAUAAUUAUUUGUAGCUUCUAAUCCAUCUUUGUGGCCCAAAUAAAUGUACUAUCGUGCUCUAGGAUGGAACUUUCUCCUAUUUGUCGUCAACAAAGAUGCAAAAGGGAGUAAAAAAUAAAGAUAAGUUUAUGGUAUUCACGUUCAAAUUGGUCACAACAAAAUCUACAAACUUUUAAAUUUAUGAAAAACUAAAGAAAAAAAAAAAAAAAAAAAAAAAAAAAAAAAAAAAAAAGGAAAGAACCAAAGCAUAAUACCUGAAUUAAAAUGACAAUUCUAACCAAAUCGUUCCGAAUCAGAUUGUACUUUAUAUGAGAAUUUAAAAAUAAAUGUUCGUUGAUAUAAUUGAAUGAACACAAUUUUUCUUGAAUAAAAACAUAAAAACCAAUUUAUUAUUUAUUGAUAAAAUGAAAAAAUAUAUAGCUUUAAAUUUUAUCACACAAACAACGGGUAUAGCUAGCUAUAGCAAUAGGAAUGUACAUGCCAACCCGAAUUUCAGGGAAUUUAUGUUUAAAUGGUAGAGUAAGGUGGGUCCCAGUUAAUAAAGCGCGCUCUGUCGUAUCUUGUGUUGUCAUCUUCUCAUUGAGCGACUUAUCUUCUCCACCUUCUCUUCUUUCAUUCAUGAUUUUUUUUUUUUAACAAAAUAAAAAAUAUUCAUUCAUUCAAAUUGAUAGAGUACAUUGAUAUAAUGCAAAUUCGCUAAAAACAAAAAGGAUGAAUAUGUGAAUAGGCUCACAACAUCCAUGUUAAUAGCAUAAAACGGCACAGUACAAUUGUCUACCCAUAUGACUAUAUUUAAAUCUCCAGAAUAAUCAUGUCUCCGAAUCUACAACGUGGAUGACGCCAAAGUCAUUGAUUGAAUCUGCACUGGAUCGAAGCUGAUAUGACAAUCUGAACCGAUCAAAUACCUGAGAGAAACAAGAAAAACAAACAACACAAAGACGACGAAAUCACAAAAUAAAAAACAAAAUAGAUGCGAAAAUCACUUAUUUCAAUAAAAGGGAAAAGGAAAAAUGAGUUAGAUCACCCCUCUUUGAUGGAUUAAGGAGAAGAAACUAAGAUUUUGAAGGAAAAAGCGUGUGACAACAUAACAAUUUUUUUUAAAAGAACAUGAUUAUCAAUAAAUUACAAUAUCUAUAAAUCUCAAUCAAAAUUAUACAUAUCAAUAAAUCUGCUUGUAUAUUCUUAAAAAAGAAGUGUAUAUAUAUAUAAUCUGCUUGUUAUUAUUUUAUUGAGAGUGAAGAUUAAAUCUUUGACUCGAAAAAAUAAAAAUAAAAACUUUGACUCUCUUAUCAGCCCAAUUAAUUAUUUUCACGUCAAUUAACUAUUUUUAAUAAUAUAACAAUUAUGAUUGAUUGCUUAAAAAAAUUGUUACCCUAAGAGUGUAAAGAAUUAAAUCUUGAAAGGAUUGAGUUUGAUCCUGAAACAAUGACUUUACUUACUCUAUUGAUUGCAUAAAAUCAUUCUCCAAAUCGCUGAUGAUUAACCUACACAAAAAGAUCCUUAUACUCCUUCCAUUUUAAAUUAGAUAUACAAAUACUUUAAACUGAGCAAAAUGUAAAUUAAAAAAAUCAAAUGUUAUUAUCAUAACAAACUUAUAUAAAUAUAAUAUCCACUUUUGUUUGUUAAUUAACGAUUGAUAUUAUCGAUUUUACACUCUAAAGUGAAUUGUUUUCUUACAUAGAGCGAGUUGCUCUCUCACUUUAGAUGGAAUGAGCCGAAUAAAACUUAAAAUCUUUUAAGAAACCGUGUAAAAUUAAAAGAAAUAUCUAGUUAGUUGAGAUAGAUGACUAUACUAUUUUUUUUAACAAGUGAGAUGACUAUAAUAUCACAAUAAAAUAUAGAGAAAUGAUAUUUGUACAACUAAUUUAUUAGAAUUUUUGUGAAAACUUUCUUUUUUAGAGUCACAUUAUGUUUUUAAUUUUUCUAUCUAUUGUUUUGAUUUUUGUGUUAAUACUUGAUUUUAUUUGUAAAUCUAUGCUUGUCCCAUAAGUUAUCGUAUAAAUGAUUGUUCAAAUAACACAAUUCUAAAAUAUAAUGAAACAAUAUUUUUUUUUGACAAAUCCUCUUUGGUUGGUCUGGUGAUAUUGACUUAAAACUUAAAAGUGUGCUUUUCCAGUCUUACACGUUCAAUUCUCUCUGAUGCCAAUUUAGAUGAAUUAAUUUAUAGCUUCUUAAAAGUAAAAAAAAUUGACAAAUGAGACAACAAUAUAACAACAAUAAAAAAAGACAACAAUAUUAUAAAACAAAGAUGGUAAAAAAAAUAAAAUGAUAAUAAAACAAAAAAAAAAAUGAUUAUAUAAAGGGAACAUAGAGGUAUAAGGUGGUUUCUUCCUUUUGGUGUCUCAUUUGCAGAAUUCAUGCAGUCGCGGCAGUAACAUAUUGGAGUCUCUCUUCUGUAACGGUUAUUAUUAUUUCUCAUUAACGCCUCUUUCGUUGAUGCUGUGUUACCACAUAAAUGGAUUACAACAACAACAAUAACAAAGACAAGUAUUUUUCUUCCCCCUUUUCUCUCUCUCUUUUUCAUUUUCAUUUUUAUUAUUAUUUCGGUCUUUCUGUUGUCAAACACACAACACUCUUUACGGGGAUUUUUUUUUCCGUUAUGUUUUUUUCUCUGUUCUCAUCAUUUUGAUUUGAUUUUGGUUCCAACUAAUUUUUUUAAUCAAUUAUAUAUGUGGUCGUUGAUCUUCAUCGUUCUCAUGUUUUUUUAUUUUUUAUUUAUUUUGUAUUUUGCUUUGAAAUAUUAAUGACUAGUGCUAGUGCUUGGAACGGUUCUGAUCGGUUUGAUUAUUAUUUUUUUUUUUUUACUGUUUGUGGCUUUCAUUUUGCAAUUUAGAUUGUUCAAUUCAAUUUAUGUUGAUAGACUAUGAUUGUGUUGGUCGGUUAUUUAAUUCUUUUUGAACAUUUUUUUCUUAACUGGAACUAAAAUUUGAUCGUUCUGUUCUUUUCUAUUUGUUUGUGUAUGUUUUCUGACUAUGGUGUGUUUUACAAUACUUGAUUAGGGAUUUAGAACAUGGUACCUCUUUUGAUUUAACCACAUUGAUUUGUAGCUCCAAUUUUUAUGCGUUUUUCGCUUUUCCAUGAUAAGAUUUUCCUUUUCGAUCCAUGUUAGGGAUCGGGAGCGGACCCGGAUCCCCGACUACUGUGAGAAACGAGAACUUUUAAUUAUCACCAUUGGAUUAAAAUUAACGGCUGUGGUUAUAAUUUUAAUUAAAAGAGGCGUGCGACUGGAACUUAAUUUGUUUCAUCCGUCCAAAGUUCCUGCUUGCUGCUCUUCCUCGCACAUGUUGUGACAUGGAGGAGCGUGUGAAGGCGAUCGUUGAAAACCCUAACUCGAAAUGCAAGUCUCAAGAUGGGUUAGUCGACAAUGAAAGAUGUCUAUGUGAAUUAGCCACGUAAUAGACCCCAUUCGACUUCCUGUAUAUUGCCAAAUUCCACCUAAUUGAGACAGAUACAUAUGGCUUUUAGUAUGAUUUUAAAUUUUCCUUAUAAAUACUUCAUUGGUUUGUUAUAAUGGACUAUUGCCAGGUGGUGUUAACACUAGCUACUUAGGGUGUAUUUAGUUUUGCUUUUGGUAGAAGACAACACGUAGCAAAGAUGCAAAUGACAUUCUGACGACUACAUUUGACAUUUGAGAACUACUUCUAACUUCCCAUAAAAAAAAAUUGGAUUUUGUUACUUAAUGUAUUGGGUUCCAGCUUCGUAAAAAGGCACAUUUAGGACAGAUUUUUAGGAAUAGCCUAUUUUUAUGAUGGAGAUAUCGUGGCGGUGGAAAGGAAGAAUACACCACAGAGGGGGACGAAGAAGUUGAAUUCACAUGCCUUUUUUUUUAUAUAAAAAUGUAAUCUAAGUGAUUGAUUUUAAUUUGACGGUUAAAAUUAAGUUUUCUCGUUUCUCAUAACUAGUUGGUAUUCUCACCUGAGUCACUCCCCAUAUAAUUUGAGUAUUUUCGACAUAACGUAAAUUUCUGAAUGUGUCAUUGUUAGGGCUCCUUGGAAUUGGCAUAGGGAGGAAGGUUAUUGUCUCCAGAAGCCAUCAAAUUUUGGUAAGUUCUAAUAAUUAUGAUUGUAAGUUUAGUGUAAAUAAAUGAUGUUUAAGAAAUCCUAGUUGUUUGAUCAGACAUUUCACAAGAGCUGUGGAACGAAGUUCCUGGAAUUGAAGACCUUCCUAUCGAGCUCGAUGAUGAAACAACCCCUGUGAAGGCUUGCAUGGAUUUUCCAUAUAGUGUCAACGGCAGUGGUAAGUUCUCUCUGAAAGGCAAUUUUCUUUACCUUAUCUAACUAUUGACAUGUACCACCUGAAUAUAUGAUUAUUAUUUGUGGAUACAAUGCCAUCCUUUUAAUUUAAACAAGUGCAUUUCAGAAUCAAAUGAUAUACAAAAGGAUCAAGAAGAAUGCUCGGAGACUUCUUCGCAAGCCAAGAGACGGCGGAUGCUACAGUUCAACAAUCAGAAUCAGAAUAGGAAUCAUUCCCUUUCAGAUGAACAUAUGUCUUCAGCAUAUCUGCAAUUAAAUGUCAGUGUUGGUAGCUUUCAUAUAUAGUUACUUUUCACACCCAUAGCAUACAGUAUAGAUAUCAUAAACAUACCUAGUGGGAUAUUUCUCCCAAUACAGCGGGGUCUAUAGAACAAUCAGACACAUCAUAGGGUCUGUUGUAGACAAUCUUAUAUAUCUCCUGAUACGGCAGGGUCUAGUGAAGUCAUUUCUCAUGCAAAGUGUAUAUUUUUUGUUAAUGUUCUACAUUGAUAUUAUCAUUAUGUUGAUAUAUAUGGAAAGAAUAAAUCAUAUGCUGUCGAGGUAACCAUAUUUUGUCUAUCUUCUUUUAGUUUUUCCUGUUAGAUUUCUAUUUCUUAUAUUAGAUUUCAUAAUUUUCCUAAAUGAAACGAUUGGUUCAGCUUUAGUGAUUUGUGUUAAUGUCUUGUAUUGUAUUGGUUCAUCGGUGAAAUACAACUUUUUCAAAGCUCUUAGCUGCAAAUUUUUGGUAACUGUAAUUUAGAGCAGGCUUGACAUAGAGCCCUGUUUCACUUAAACAUUUGUAAAGAUAAUGAGGUGUUAUUUUCAAAUCUGUGCUAGUCUCUAUCCCAUCCUUCGUAGUAAUUAUUUGUGUUCUAUUUUUUAUUUUACAUGAUAUCUAAAGUCCUACAUAUAAUGUGAAGUAUCCUUCUGUUUUAAGUUGAUCCAUAGUGGUGAGUCUUUUAUGAUUCCUUCAAAUUUUCAUGAUUUGUAGAUAGUUUCACUACCACUUAUGUAACGAUAAUACGAGUUCCUUUUAACUUCUGUGUGUCAAGUGUACGAUACUGAUUUUAUUUAAAAUGUUUAGAGUUAAAAAUUGUACUAGAACUGUGCUUUUGUGUGAAUGUAUGACCGUUUCAUUAUGCAUAUAGGGGACGGACUACUCCAACGAGGAUAUUUUCCCGGAAGUUUCGCAAUGGCUAUCUGAGGAUUCAGGUUUUCCUCAUGCAAGAUUUAGCUUUGAUUUUUUUAGUGACUUUUGAUAAAUUAUUUGGAUGCUUAUUUCUAUUCUUUACCCAAUGGAAUAUGCAUUAGAAAAUGCUUCGUCUUCCAACUACGAGGACCUUGAGUCAGCUGAAAAGUGGCUCGCAGAUUGCUUGAAGGAUACUGAAAUCCAGCAAUUAUAUCCUGAUAAUCCGUACGAUUCUAAAAACCACUGCAAAUACAAUUGUGGCAUAUAUAUAUUUAUAUAAAAUAAUCUUAUAAUUAUGCUCGUUCAGGAACUUUUCUGGCGCAGAUGAUGUUCAUAUUGAUGCUACUGGUAUAAGACAUUCUCUGCUGUCCACUGUUGUCUUCUAAUGUUUGUUUCCUUUUUCUUUUUCAUGAUUUUUACCUCUGUACACUGAACUUAAUUGAAAACAUCAUUUGCUACUGUAGAGAUCUGCAAUUUAACACCACCAUUUGAACAGAAUGUGGCUCAGCUUCAAAUCUCUUCAACUCCCAGAAAAAUUGUCUUCAAAGGUUUGACCUUUUUUAUCCUUUUGUCGUUUAUUUUUUCACUUGAUAUUGAAUAAGGUGGAGACAGGCCUCCAAACGCAUAUCUUCCAAUUCCACUUAACUAGAAUUAAAACAAGUCAUAUUUGUCUUCGUAGAGGCAUUGAUAAGGAGGUUUGACUCGAUGAAAAGUAGUCUAAAAGUUCGAGCUAGAGGGAGACAGAUAUGUAUAGGUCAAACUUGUAAAAGAGAUGUACAGUAUAUGGUCUUUCUUUGACUUUAAUAAUACUUGACAGGAGACUAGGUAUUCUUUAGUGAGAAAAGGCUUAGUUAUAUUGUCUUUUUUUCUUGUUUUAGAAUGAGAUGUCUACAUAAUUUCUCAUGAUUGAAAGAUCCUUCGUAGACAUGACAUGAUCAUAAACUGAAUCCUAUUGUUUUCAUACUUUACUAAACUGGUGCUUUUGUUCCUAAAGCUGGGGUCUUUAAUCAAUUAAUUAAUGUUAUAAAAUGCUAAAGUUCCUUAUGACAGAAGUUUUAGUAGAUAGCAGCUAAUGGCAUGAAAUCUCUGACUCACAUUUACAUGUGCAGGUCGAAAAUCUAUUAUGAAAACACCAACAGGGUUAUCUUCUUCUGUGGCCUAUCCAUUUGCCUUCGUUAAACCCUGUGGUGACCGUGGAGAUGUCACGCUGAAGGAAAUAAAUAAGCGCAUUCAGUCUCCACCUCCUUCAAAAUCAAAGCAAAUCAAGGAGGAUUAUCCGAAAUCGGCCUUUUCUGGUAAGCCUGUCGUUGGGAAGACAAAAAUACUCACCGAAGGUGGAAAAGGUAGCAUCACAAUUAUGAGAACUCGAGGCUAGCUAGGUGGUUUAGUACUAGCUUUUGUCUUUCCCCAUUUACUUAUGGGGUUGACUUUAUUUUCUGUGAACUACCAGAUAUCAGAUACUUGAGGCUAUCUUGUUUAAGAUUGUUUUCCCUGCCGACGGAACUAUUUGGUGUUCCCAGGCCAUUUUUGUUGAAGCUGCUAUAUAAUCGACGCGGUUUAAAUGCUACAUUUUGUUGACAUAAAUUUAAAGUCAACCAAUACUUUAGCUUUUGAAAUGACAGGUUCAUGAAGUUUGCUCUUAGCUUUUAUUUUUUGGUAUACAGCAGUGGGGCCUAAGCCCAAGUUGUUUGUUCUUAGUUUUUGUAACUGAGUCAAACUUAGUUUAGUUUUAUUAUUUAUGCCUUACUUUUGUAGCUUUGUUUCAUGGAUGCAUUUGAUACAGAAAUUGCAUAUCCAUGCCUGCAUAUAUGUUAUGUGUAACCAUAACUAUCUGUUUUAGGUUCCUUUUUCAUUUUGUUAGUUGUGCCUCGUAUCGAAUAGAAGUUAUUGUUCAGGAAAAAAAUGAAUGAAUUGAUGUAGUUCUUAUAAUGACUACUGUUUAUAAUUAAAACUAGAAAAUCAGUAGUUUUCAACCUAUGUUGUGAAAUUGUAACUUGUAGUGCACAUGCUUUUUAAAAUAGACUAGAAUUCAAGGAGAACAUGUGCUUAUUUUGUAAAUUAUUAUGGAAUAAAACAGUUAAUAAUAUUCAGAUUUUCAACUUCGAAAGGAAGCUUCUUUCCAUUAAGUUUGAAAUAUCCUAUCAAUUUUUCAUGUAGUCAUAGUUUUUCCUUAAUCUUAAUCUGCCCAUCCCCAGCAGCACUUAUUGUUACGGUCUCCAAUUGAUUCACAACUUGGGGUUUCAAAAUGUUCAUCCAAAUUGCACUUAGGAGUCCUAAACACCGACCAGCACUUCAGAAACCCUAAUUUUGAAUCUUGUACCAAAUCAGAACCUUUGGCUCCUAGCAUCAAUGAUUUGAUUAGUCUCGUGCAAUUCCACAAUCAUAGUUGAUGGUGAGUGCUUGUCGCUGGUUAUCAAAAGAGUGAAAUGAUGGCUCCUCGGGUGGUGUAUUAAAAACUUCUUGGUAUCACCUUGGGUGUACACUGGAGGGGGAAUGAAGGCUAGUGGGAGGCCGGGGAAGGAGAGGGAGUAGAUUUAGUGUGGACGGUUUACUGUUACUUUCAAGUGCACCACAUAAGUCACUUGUGCACAUUACAAAUAGCCUGGUAAAUUGAUAAUAUUAUUCUAGAAAUAAUUUUACAUGUUAGCAAUCUUGUAGAUACGCAACAAUAUUACUUGUACAGAAAUUCCCGUGCUAGUUCAAGUCUAGUCUUGGGAUUCAACUAAGUCAGAGUUGAAGGAAGGAUUGGGUGAUUCAAUAUUAUCACUUGUUAUCAUGUAUGUAUUGUUUAUAAGUAGUAUUAAGACAUUACCUUUUUUUGUCCAUAUUGACACAUUCCUCAUAGGUUGGAUUAAAGAUCAGCUUUGCUCGGUUCAUAUAGUUUUGCAGAUGUAUGUUGUCAGCACAAACCCAGUCAACAACUUCAACAUAAUAGAAACACAUUAGUCAAAAAUAUGAUAAUAGGCAAUAGUAAAUAAAACACAACUUUUUAGUGUGAAUCAGGUAUCCUUUAAAGAGAACUGCAGAGAUUAAUCUCUCGAGUCGAACAUAACCACAAUGGAUGUUCUGUUAUCAACUCAAUGAUUAGUUGUUUAGCAGGUUCGAAUAGGCUAAGUCGAAGGAAUAUAUUGAAAAGUUUUUUUUCUAAUGACAAAUAUUAAUAUUUAGCAUGUUCAAAGAAGUUAAAUCAAGGGAAUAAAAAGAUGAUUAUUUUAGAUUAUCAAUAAUAUAAAAGAUUAGAUCGAUGGAUUUCUACUGUUGAAAUCUAACCUAAGUUAUUAUGUUUACGGCGUACGAUUAAAAUAAAUUAUAAAUUACCCGCUGCCUAGUUCGAUUCCUACAAUCCGGAUGUAAAAACAUAUAUUCUUACAUAAAUUAAAUUAAUUUAAAAAAAUAGAAAAAAGAAAGUAGCACGUGGCAGUUCCCACGGAAACCGGAAUGACUAUUGACAUCAUCAGAGUCCACUCACGCCAUUACCAUUUCUUUCUUCACUCUCAAUCUUGCGCGCUUACACUUUCCCUUCAAAUACAAACAAAAUUAACUUCACACAUUCCAUUAUCCAACAAUGAACUCACUCAUUUCACUUCAACGUUUCAUUCUCUUUCUCAAUCUUCUUCCUCUAUUCUUCACUUUCUCUAACUGCCACAUUCCAAAUACUCUCGAAGGUCCCUUUCUUCCCGUCACCGUUCCCUUCGACACUUCCUUGCGCGGCGACACCGAAGACUUACCCGACGAUGAUCCCCGUGUUCGCCGUCAGGUCACCGGCUUCCAGCCAGAGCAGAUUUCACUUUCUCUCUCCACCACUCAUCACUCCGUUUGGCUCUCAUGGAUUACAGGUAUGAGCGAGCAUAACAAUAUUAAUCUUCAUGAUUCUUAAUCUUGCAGAUAAUGCUUGUGUUCUUUGAUUUCAUACCUUUUACUUAUCUGAGUUUAACUGUGAUGCACUUGACUGCGUAAAAUAGGUUUACACUGUCAUCCAAUAACAUCUUGUAUUAUGCUAAAUUACAAAGAUAUUUUGAAAUUAGUUGGACUCGUGAUUUCUUAUUGGAUCAGAGUAAUACUAUUUUACACUGUGUAAGUGCAUCGUCAUUAAACUCUUUCGAAAUAUUUGUCAUUAGGCGGAGGAAUGCAAGAUGUUCAUUUUGGAUGUCAGUGUAAACUUAUUUUACACUUCCACUGUAUCUUCAAAGAAUAUAUUUUUGUAGCAAAAUUUGCAAGGUUUCUAAUUUUAGGGACUUCAAAAAAUUCUUGAUGUCUCAGUCUCGUUUACAAGAUUUUGAUGCCUUCAAGACUGUAUGUUGUGAUUCUUGAUUUUGCAGAUAAUGCCUUUGUGUUCAUGAUUUGAUAGCUUUUACUUAUUUAUUCGAGUUUAAUGGUGAUGAUGACAGUGUAAAGUAGCUUUAAACUGUCAUCCAAUAAAAAAAUCAUCAAUCUUUCAUGUCAUACAACUAAUUUCAAAAUAUCUCCGUGAGAAUACAAGAUGUUUAUUGGAUGUUACUGUGAAACUAUUUACUGUUAAUGCAUCUUCUAUUUUCUCUAUUUAUUUAUUGAAAAUAAUUUAAAAUAAGGAAAUUUGUAAAUGUAUGUGCUAGUUUAAUACUCUGUAUAGUUUUGUUGAUGGGAUGUAGUUGACAAUUUGAAUAUAAAUAAAUAUGGUUUUUUAUUUUUUUAUGAAACGGUGUUAGGCAUUUUGCUUUGUUGAUGAUAUGAUAAUGCUAGAAUUAGAAAAAAUAGAAGAUGCACUUAUAUAUGAUGGUAUGAUAACUAUUGUAGUCUGGUUGCAAUUCUUGAUGAUUCUUGAUUUUGUAGAUAAUGCUUUUGUGCUCUUGAUUUGAUAGCUUUUAACGGUGAUGCACUGAGGAUAAGAUAGUUUAUUUCUGAUUGGACGACAACGUAAAACUAUUUUACACUGUCAGUGCAUCUUCUAUUUCCUGUAUUUCUUUCAUGAAAAAAAUUAAAAUAAGUACUAACUGUAUGUGGCAAGUUCAUACUCUGUUUAGUUUUGACAGAUGUAGCAGUAGUUGAUGAUUUGAGCAUAAAUUAACACGGUUUUCUAUUUUUAUGGAACGGUGUUAUGUAUUUUGCUUUGUUGAUGAUGUGAUCAUUGUUAGGGGAAUAUCAAAUUGGUAACAACAUCAAGCCGUUGGACCCUAAAACUGUCUCUAGUGUUGUUCGAUAUGGAACUUCAAGACUCGAAUUAGUGAAUGAAGCAAAGGGUGAAUCCCUUGUGUACAGCCAGCUUUAUCCUUUUGAAGGUCUUCAGAAUUACACUUCUGGAAUCAUCCAUCAUGUUCGGCUCACAGGUGAACGUUGCUUUUUGUUUCCUAGUUAAGUUAAAUGGAACAAAGUAACCCAAAUAACUGUUUCUGUUAUUCUGUUUUAGGUUUUCUAAUUUUCCAGCUAGUUUAUUUUUGGGUUUGAGAAACAUAGGAUUUUAGUAAUUUCCUUGUCUAAAGUGAACGUUGCACUAUAUAAAGGUACUACCACCAUUUAAUUUUUCAAUCAAUGUUAAGACUUUAACAAUUUUGUAGUUUUUAUAUAAACACACACUUAACUAUCUAAAGUGCACCGCUCAAUUUAGAAAGCCACAUCCUCAGGUGUGAUGAGUACCACCCGUCUCUAGCAUUCAAUAUAUAAUGUGUGUUUAUUCGAGAAAAUCUAAAAUUUCAUUAUGUGUGCAGUUUCAUUAAUACACUAUCCUGUAUUGUUAAAAAGCGACUAUAACGUUAUACUGUUGCAGAAUUUGAAGAAAUUGCUGUUGUUCCUUUAUACACUUCAUGCAACUAAUUCCACCGUAAUAAGGCUAGUUAUCAUUUUAUGAAAGUUUCAUGUUUUAGAUUUUUAAACUAGUUUCCACUGUAUAUGUAGGAUUGGAACCAAGCACACUAUACUAUUAUCAAUGUGGCGAUCCCUCAUUACAAGCCAUGAGUGACAUAUAUCAUUUCAGGACCAUGCCAAUUACUGGUCCACAGAGCUACCCAGGAAGAGUUGCAAUAGUAGGAGAUCUUGGUCUCACGUAUAAUACGACUACUACCAUCAGCCACAUGACUAGUAACGAACCUGAUCUUAUCCUAUUGAUUGGCGAUGUAACCUAUGCUAAUCUGUACCUCACAAAUGGAACUGGCUCAAACUGUUAUAGUUGCUCAUUUCCACAAACUCCUAUACAUGAAACCUACCAGCCUCGAUGGGAUUAUUGGGGAAGGUAAAUGAAAAAUAAAUAUUCAUGUUAACUACUCCCUCCGUUUCAAAAUGAGUGUUGCUUUAGCCAAAAAAAAAUUGUUUCAAAAUGAAUGUCGCUUUACAUUUCCAAUACAACUUUUAUUUUUUUCUUCCAACUUUACCCUCAAUAAAUAUUCCAACUUUUCUCUCUCACAAUUUUCAAUGCAACUUUAAGUUUGUCUUGUUCCUAUAAAGUAAGGUUAUUUUAGUAAAAUUGCUAUGACAUUUGACUAUUUUAUUCCAUUCCUUAAUCCAUGUGCAAUUGGCUAAAGCGACACUCAUUUUGAAACGGAGGGAGUAUUAGUUUGUGGAUGAUGAAAAGUACCGUGAUAUUAUUUAUUUUAAUUGUGUCUUCUAAUGGUUCCAGGUUUAUGCAGAAUCUAGUGUCUAGAGUUCCAAUAAUGGUGGUAGAAGGAAAUCAUGAAAUUGAAAAACAGGCUAGAAACCAGACAUUUGUGGCUUACAGUUCCAGGUUUGCGUUCCCCUCUGAAGAAAGUGGAUCGUCAUCCACAUUCUACUAUUCUUUCAAUGCUGGGGGCAUUCAUUUUAUUAUGCUUGGGGCUUACAUUGAUUACGAAAAAACAGGUAUUUUCCUGUUCGACCCUUUUCAGUAAUCACUUUUCAGUUAUGUGCCUUACAUAGAUUUAAUUUGGGUUAUUACUUUUAAGUAUUGUUUUCAUUGGCAAUGAUCUGUAUCCUUUGUUUCAAAGAUAGGCCAGAGUGAAAAGAAAUUUAAAGGAGAAAGUAAAUUCUUUAAUUUGAUGGUUUGGCUAUUCUCAACUUAUAUGGGUAGCAGGAGCUGUAUUGUGGAAUUAAGAUAGGAAAUGGAAACAAAAAAAUAUCUGAAAUUCGAGAGUGCCUUGUCUAACAAAUUCCAUUUUAGUUCUUCUAUUCUCUUGGUCUUAAUCACACACCCACAACUCUCCCUACUGCCAACUCAGUUGUUUGUUACAUGGUGGAACCUUUUCAUUUUCUCUUGUCACCUCUUGUUUCUCCUUGCAUACACCUUUUAGUUAGUCUCCCUCCUCAAGAGACACACCUUGUCCUGUUUUGCAAGGAUGCCGCCUGUCGGCUGCCUUAUUCUCCCUUUCAGGUUGAUACUGAAUCUUGAAAUCAAUCCCCACAAUUUGGAGAUCCACUUCUACUGCUCCUCACACAUAAAUAAAUCUUUGAUCCGCUGAGAACUUCAAAGUUUUCUGACCAUAGUGCACCUUGAAAUGUCCCUGUUUUUUAAUAACAAGUUCAGUGACCAUCAACGCUCUCUCACACACUGAUUUAUUUUGGCCCUUAAAGUUUUUCUUGCAUUAAUACUCACCCUACCCCUUUUCAUAAUUAUAAUUAUCUAUAUCAAUUUUUAUUUUUUUUGAAAUUUGAAACUCCCAAUAUAAAAAGAGUAGCCACUUACCAUUUCUGUGUUAAGAGGCACAAAGGCAUCUUGAGCUUCCCUUUCCCAUUUAAAAUUGUCCUUCUAAAUUUUCGUAUAAGAGACCAGGCAAUUUUCCCAUAAUUCUGCACAAAUUUUUGCUAAUAUUAGCCCCAAGAACCCCACCAAUCCCUUAUAUCCACCAGGGUAGGUCAAUUCCUCAUAUCCUUGAUCUUCUUUGGGUCUGCAGAAACUCCCUUCUCAUGAAUUAAAUGCCUCAAAUAUUCCAGCUGCCUUUGAUGAUAUCUGAUCAAACUCAGCUUUUUCCUUGAAUCAGAACUUGAUUCAGAAGAACACAGCUAUCAAGUGCAUAUGUUGUGUAACUGUUGCAUUCUUGCAUACUUUUUCAUCCAUUUCAAAGCUUUUUAACGAAGCAACAUAUUGUUGUGUUGGCUCUAAUGUACCUUAAGGGACUAGUAUAUUGAGAAACAAACGCACUAAUAAUUUUGGGAGAGCAACGAUAUGUUGUUACUGAUAUUACAUGUUACAAUGCAAGUGUAAAAGGAAGAGAAUAUUCUAUUGUAGAAACGGAAACAAACAUUUUAGUCGUACUUGAAGAAUGGUUUAUUGGCUGUUGAAUGUGCUUAAAAUAUGCUUUAUGUUCACGUUACUAUUUUGGUCUCUAUUUAUAUUCAGACGCUUCUACUGUCUAAAUUGUUUCAUAAAUUGUUCCAUAAACUAAUCGAGUGCAGCUGACUUUAUGAUUUUUUUCACCUUGGCAGGUCAACAAUACAAGUGGCUGGAGAGCGAUCUUGCUAAUGUUGAUCGAUCACUAACUCCCUGGCUUGUAGCUACCUGGCAUCCACCAUGGUAUAGUAGUUAUAAAGCUCAUUACAGAGAAGCCGAGUGUAUGCGGAUAGAGGUGGAAGAGCUGCUAUACUCAUAUGGUGUGGAUAUAGUAUUCAAUGGACAUGUGAGUUAUCCUAAACCUAAUAAAUAAAAUGUUGACAUUCCAUUUAAAAUGUUGGAACAUUUAUUUUAUUUAAUCGGCUUUGAUUAUGAAUUUUGUCUGAUAUGCUUCUCACCUAUAUUCACUACAAGCAUGUUAUAAAGAGUUUAGCAACAAAGUAUAUGUGCACUGGUAGUCAAAUAUUUAUAUGAUUUUGGACUAAGCUUGUGCUUUUUGAUUUUUUCUUAAAUUGAUCACCAGGUUCAUGCUUAUGAGAGGUCCAAUCGGGUUUAUAAUUAUAGUUUAGAUCCGUGCGGUCCUGUAUAUAUUACUGUUGGGGAUGGGGGUAACCGAGAGAAAAUGUCAAUACCAUUUGCAGACGAGCCUGAUAACUGUCCUGAUCCAUCAACUACUCCUGACCCUUAUAUGGGUGGCUUUUGUGCAACAAAUUUUACAUUUGGCCCAGCAGCGGGAAAGUUUUGUUGGGAUCGGCAGCCAGAUUACAGUGCUUUCAGAGAAAGUAGCUUUGGCUAUGGAAUUUUCGAGGUACUAUCCCUUUGUACCCAACCACUUGUGCAAUACAACAUAGCAUGGUAGUAGAAAAGUUACAUUCAAUAAAUUGAUUCACAAGCUAUGUCCGAGUGCAUAUUACCUGGUGAAAAGUUAAGCGUUCAAAGCUCUGAUAUAUCCUUUUAGGUUCUGAUGCUAUGAAAUAAUGCUCAUCAGCAGCUUAACAUUAUACUACACUUAGAUUUGUCACAAAAUACAACUUUGAUUUGCACUGGAAUAUUGUUUGGAAUAGGGUAAGAGAAUGGAAAAAUUGCAUAAAGGAAUGAAAACACAUACUUCUAAAUAUUUAAAACAGUUUGGCUAUUUAGCUACAGUAUAAAAGAAGGGAAAAUUUACCAACGCGACCCAUAAAAUUAUAAUCCUUCCCAAAUGGAAAGAAAACUGAAAAAGGUUGUAGAAAGUGUCGCAAACCACAAUAGUUUUUCUUUUUUUUUCUCUCCCUCAACUCUGUCCUUACUUUUUGUUAAAUACAUGUUGAUGCCAUUUUAUUUUUAUAUUCAUGUUUUCUUCUUACAUUUUACUCUAACAAAUGAAGGAAGAGAAAACUGUUACAUAUCUUUUAUUCUACUUUCAUUCCUGCUUAACAAUCCAAAAAAUCAUCUCAUUUUCUGCUCUCUUUUUACUUUCCUUUCUUUCACUUUCUUUUGGAAAUCAAUAGGAUAUAUCAUAACCCAACAAAGACAUUUGUGGCUCUUAAAUAGUUGCAAAGUCUAAUUUUGAUUUUUGAAAUUUAACCUCAAUGUCCUUCCUUUAAUUGACUUAACAUUACAUGCAUAAGCAGGGGCGAAGGGCUUCACAACCAUGGGGUAGCAUUGGCUACCCCAAAAGAAAAAAAAUCUUGAAUAUUUAACUUAGGUAUAUACGUAGCUACCCCAUUAAAAUAUUAUUUGGCUACUCCAAACAAUUUUGUUGGUUAAAACAGAGAUGAUAUUAUAAAAAUAUUGAUAAUCUAUUUUGUUUAGUGUUUAUGGAUAAAUUUGACUUCUAAAAACACCUUAGAGCACAACUUUUAUAAAUAACUAUUGUUAGCGUUUAUUUUUUUUGUUGCAGUUUCAUUAAUUAUGAGUAAAAUUAAUUAAGUUUCGUAUAUUAGUGUUUAAUUUUUUUCUUCUUCUUUAUAUUUGGCCCCCUCGUAAAAAUAGUGCUAGCUACGUCGCUGUGCAUAAGAACACUUUCUCAUAUCUGACAGAGUGUUUUAAUGUGUAAUAUGCAGGUAAAAAAUGAAACAUGGGCUUUGUGGACUUGGUAUCGCAAUCAGGACUCUUACAAGGAAGUUGGAGAUCAAAUUUACAUAGUUAGACAACCUGAUAUAUGUCCUUUUCGUCAGAGGGUGUAUAGCAAUUGUGUUGCUUCAUUUUAAGAAACAUCAAUAGUACAUUAGUUGACAUUGAUGAAAAUGUCAUUAUAGUUAAAUAGGUAAAUAUACACAUACCUGGAAAGAGACGAAAAAGUGCUAAUUGCUAAAUCCCACAGUGAAUUGAGUGGAAUGCAAUCUUUCUUUUAUUACAAUGUUGAUCCUACCUAGUACCUACUGCAUGUUAGCAAUCUACUUACAGAAUGUUAAAUGAAAGUCCGUGGUAUAUCAUUAGAAUCUGAUCAAAAUGAGAAUGAAAAAUGUGCAGUUACAUCAAUGCAGCCCAUGCUUUUUGUUGUUGCCUACACAGAUGUACUCGUUAUUUGCAUACCAUAAACAAGUAUAAGUAGUUUUUUAACAUUUGAAUCAUAACCUAAGCUCUUGUUCUUUUAUAUGUUUUGUUGGAAUCACAAGUUCAACUAUUUGAAUUACCGGCAGUUCUGAUAUAGUGAUGAUGUAUAUCAUCCCAAUUAGAACGUUGAUGUUUUUCCCUUAUCUCAUAACUUCAUUUAGGCAUCUCAAACUAAAAGAGAGGCCAGAACAUGUAAACAAAAAAAAAAAAAUCAGAAUAUCUCGAGAAUCUCUACAAUGAAAUUGUUGCAGAGUGGACAGCUUCCCUUAGCCACCAUAAGCUCCCUUGAACACAUCCUGCAGAAACUGUGGCCACAAGGAGCAAAAGCAGCACCCUUAUGUUUCACCAUGCAAAUACAACAAGUCUCUUCCAUGGCACCUUCUCCAUCCUCAUCAUCUUCACAUUCAUCAUCGUUGAUGUCUUCUUCAUCACUCAAAGUAUACCUUGAUCCUUCCAAUCCCAUCUCCCUAUCAGUCUCCUCCAGCAAGUCCAUUAGUGACAUCAUCAUUGGAGCCCCUUCUGAAGUCUCCACCUCUGUUGCUGCAGCAGCUUCUGCCGCUUCCUGCGCUGCCACUGCCUCCCUUGCUGAAAGUGCCCUCACUGUCGCUGGUUUCUUGUUGUCAUCAUCGUCGGGAUCAUCCUCAUCGAAGUUGUCUCUAAAAGUCACUACACGUCCUCGGUGAAACGGCUCUGAUGACACAUUGGUGGAAUUUCUUCGUGAGAGUUGCGACCGGAGAUUUCCUCCGCCAGAGGAGUUUUCUGGUGAUUCGACCGAGAGACGUGUGGAGAUGCGGCGAGUGAACUGUGGUCUAGUGGCCGGAGGAUUGGACUCCUCCGAUGAGUCAGGGUCGUCCCCUUGGUGAGUCAUGGAUUGGGUGGUUGACAUGUCUGAGUCAUCGUGGUGAGUUUGGAUUCGGACUGAGUUGCGACGACCGAAUUGAGAAAAACUUCUACUAUUAGGAUUUUGGAUAGGAAUAUCUGAAGUUGGAAUAUGAAUCGUUGAUGUCCAAGCAGAGCCAGUGCGUUUGAGUCGAAUCUUGUCCUUGAAUGCUUUCCAAGAUCUUCCAAAUCAGUGAAAAUGAAACUGUGAGCUAACUAUUUGAGAACCAUAGUCUUUCCUCGACAAUGUAAGAGGACAAUACACAUAUGUCAUCUCAUCUAAACACUAGCAUUUUGAUUUCUCAUAGACCAAUCUAUACUAACAUAAUUUUUCAUUAAAAACAAAACAAUGUAAUCGAAAAGAUGGUGUUAUUACAAUAAUAUGUUGUUACCUGCGGUCUUUUUUGUUGAUCUCGUCUUCUUUGAUGGUGUCUACAAGCGUUCGACUCUUCGGAGGUGAUGGUUUGCUAGGUGGUGCAGUUGCUAAUCUCUUUUGAUUGGCUAAGACGUCGUCAAGAGUCAAGCCAGCAAACUUCUCUCGACGGUUCUCUGAACCUGACAUUUCCUCAUAAAAGUGUUAUCUUAUGUCUUCAUUCAAUGCUCAAAACAUAGAUUUUUUGUCACAACCUCUAAAUGAUAGCAGUAAAAGAAAAGAAAAAAAAUUACAUAAAGGGUUCCAAGGUACACAGAUAUUGGUUUGUUAGUUUUGUAGGAAUUUUGAUUUUGUUUUGUAAAACGUGGUAGUGUUUGCUCGAACAAGAGGAAGCAAAAUGGAAGGCUGUACUGAGUUAUUGGGGUAUUGACACAAUUCACCCACAUUUUGCUCGUGAAAAAAUGUCUCUUCGCAGAAAAUGAAAAUGCUACUAAUUUGGAGAAAAAUACAAAUGUAUAAAAAUCCAUACUCCCUCCGUCCCAAAUUAUAAACAAAAGAACAAAAAUCACAUUUAUUAAGAAAACUAAAACAUAAGAAUUUGGAGUAUAGUUUUUUGUGUUUUCUUUGGAAAAAGUUUUAUAGUAAAAUGUAAAAACAAUUUUCAUUGGUUAUUGGUUAUGGAAAAAAUGAAAGAAAGAGAAAAUUGAAUGUAAUUUGCAUUUAAUUUCAUGAGAAUAACAAAAAAAAAUCUUGGAAAAGAUAAAAGUUUGUCUUUUUUAUUUAUAUUUUGGGAUAAAGAAAAUGUGUUAUUUUGCUUAUAUUAUGGGACGGAGGGAGUACAUUUCAAAGGAAGCUAUAUAUAGUACGUAGGAUCUGGAUCCAUCGUGUGGGCAUUGUGAUGUGAUGCCAUAGAUAAGCAAUGAGUCAACCCUUUUUUUCUCAAGAAAUUAUGUCUUUCCUAGAAAAUGAUAUGGAAAUCAUUCAAAACUUUAACGGAAGACAUGGAAAUUAUGUUCUUCCAUUUUAUGAACUCCAUCCCUUCAUUCAAAAAGUACAAAGCAAGACAAAAAUAAGAAGUGAGAGGAGCUUUGGUGGCUUAUAAGACAGUGAUGGAGUCGGGGAAAAAAAAAAGUUUCAUAAAAAUAGGUUAUAAUCUAUACAUAAAAUUUCUUCCAGUAUAUAUUAAACACAAAGUUUAGCAUCACAAAAUUAAAUUAUAUACCUUGAAAAUUUAAAAUAAUUAUCUAUGCAUUUCAAGGGAUUUUAAAGUCUGCUAAUAACGAAUAUUAAGAUGAAAAAGUGGGUGAACUACAACGAUAUUUUAUUUAAUAGUUAAAAAUAUUUUAAUAAUUUUUUAAAAUUUAAUUUUUUUAAGUGGGGUCGGCCCUGCCUCUGUUCAAAGGUGAGAGACUUCACACAGUAAAAGAUAAAAGCGACAUGUAAUUUAAUGAGAGUUGAAUCUGAUGAGUGGUUAAAUAUUAAAUUUUAGGCCUAAAUAUGUUUUUGAUGUUAUAAAAAUUGAGACCCUCUAGAUUUGAUUCCUAUCAAAUUUUAAUUAAAGUUAGUGGCCAUUUUAGUUGUUUGCAAGAAUAGUUAUUGGUAUUAAAAUUAUAUAAAUAAAGUUUUAAUCCUGCAUUAGUUGUUUGCAAGUCGGCUAGGCUUACUCGUGUGAUCACUUAUUUGUUAAAUGCAACUUUUAUUCAAGAAAAUUGAUCUGUUUGGAUUAGCUUAUUUUAGAGCUUAUAUAAAAUAACUUAUGUAAAUAAAUAAAUUUUUAUGUGCUAUUUAUAAAUUUGUUAAUGUAGUUUAUGAAAAAACGGUUUAUGAAGAGAUAAUUUUCGUUAGUAAAAGCUUAUAUAUUAAAAUAAAAGCUUAUUUAUUUACAUAAGCUAUUUUUCAUAAACUCAAAAUAAGCUCAAUCCAAACGGGACUAUUUAUUCGACUCUUCAUAUUUUUUUUGAAAACAUCAAAAUGGAAUUUAUAAACAUAGGCAGUGGAACCAUUUCAGCACAAGAUGUUCUGGAAGACCACCCCUUAAAAAGAACUGUCAAACAAUAUUUACAAAAUUACAGUCAGUCGAUACUCAGUCAUAACAUAAGAUCCGACCACCACAUCUGAGUGUCAUGCACAAACAAGGCAUUAUUAACCUGUAACCACCAUAAAGAAUGGAAUUUAAUCUUUUCUAAUAAUUGAUCAAUGGUAGUUUGGAUACUAUUAAAUAUUCUAUUGUUACGUUCAUUCCAAACUACCCAGACACUAAGUAAUUACAGCAAAAAAUAAGAGUAUUUUUCAGCCCAAGGAAAUUUACAAUAGUUAAACUUCGGUCGUUUUAUGGGAAAAAUUGAAAUAUAUCGCUUUUGAUUUUGACAAUUAUUUUUGGAGACUUAAUUUUAUACUUGGCUUUGCUGCUGUCCCUUAGUUUGUUUUCUCUCAUGUUGAUUUUUGGAUUUCUUUGUAAUGUAACUCUGUUAAUUUUAUAGGUCUCAUUCGAUACGGAUUUUUUUUUUCUUUCACACGGUUUACAACCCAUCAAAGGUGGGCGAUUAAUCUGGCUCAUGCGUAGAGGCAUGCGCAUUGGCCAAGCGUUGUUCCUUUGGGAAUCGAACCCAGUAUUCCUUAGGUACGUCCUUGGAAGGAGCUCCUUGCCACUGGAGCCCAAGCAACUUGGUUUACACGAAUUUAUUCUUUGUUAGCAAUAUAUUUUAUGGGAAAUGUUAACGAGUGCCUCGGGCACUCUUUAAACACCUAAACUAGUAAGUUUUUAUGAAUAUUUGUGCAUUUAUUGUAUUGAAAAUUGAAAUUUUUAUCUUUUUUAAAUAAUAAUUUUUUCAUAAGGAGUGCUUAAAGAGUGCUCGGAGAUACUCGUUAACAAGACCCAUAUUUUAUUUUAGAUUUUUAAUUUGUUUGCAAGAAUAGUUUUUGACAUUAUAAUUAUAUUGAUGAAGUUGACAGAAUGUUGAUUGCAUCUUGUCACAUGGAAUUUAAUUAACAAAUUUUUAGAACUGAUUCUCCACUUAAGGAUAAUAAAUAAUUUGGUGGCCUUCAAGUUGAGACACCUUUUUUCACAGCACUAUGCAAUCAUAUGUCUAUGUUAUUAUUAUUUUUUUGUUUGCAAUACCAUAUUGGAAAUCUUUUUGUGACCCGAUUGAUGAAUAAUAGUUUAUUAAUAAUAUAAGAAGAAGAAAAAUUCAUCAAGUUGGGUUUCUUAUGUCUCACCAAGAUCAACAUAAGCUUCAAGACACAAUGAGUGUUUUUUUUUAAGAAGUAAAAAAAUAUAGAUUAAAACACCCCAAUCAACACACAAGGUGUGUUUAAGAGGGGGAGCCAAAAAAGUACAAUGUUUCCAACAAAAUAAAAACAUCACAAAUGGUCAUCACAUGUUGGAUAAACAAAUAGGGUUAGACCACUGACCACCAUAUAUUUUUAACAAAAUGUAAUUUUUGUUUUUAUGCUUUUAGCACUUAAAAAAAAUUGUUGGGUCAAAAUUUAUAAUCCUUCAUUGGGUAAAGUUAAUAAUAGAAUCAAGAUCAAAUGGAAAGCUCCUCCAUUCGGUAAAGUUAAACUCAAUGUGGAUGGAAGUUGUGACCAAAGUGGUGUCAUCGGUUCAGGAGGAUUGAUUCGAGAUGCCGGAGGAAAUUGGGUGGCUGGAUUCUUAUCUAAUGAUGGUUGCGGCGAUGCGCUUAUUGUUGAGUUGUUUGAAAUUUAUAACGGUUUGGUCCUUUUGAUAAACAAUUCAGUGUUGCAUGUUGAGUGUGAGACAGACUCCACUGAGAUCAUAAACCUACUUAUGCUUCUUUACUAGCUAAAAUCACAAGUUUGUUGGAUCAUCUCUCAGGUUUGGUGUUCAAACAUGUGCUCUAUGAAGGCAAUGUAUGUGCGGAUUUUUUGGCUAGGUUGGGAAGGAACUCUACUCUUGGAGUAACAACUUGGGUGACACCUCUUGAUGGGCUGCUCUCGUUGCUCAACUUUGAUGCUUUCGAUUUCUAGUUAGCUUUGAUUUUUUCGUUUUCUCUUAUGACCUUCACCAAAAAAAAAAUUAAUCCCUAAGUGAUUUUUUUUUUUUUUUUUUUAGAUUUAUUGAAUAAUUAAUGUACUUGAUUAGACAAGAUACAUUAAUAAAAUAAUCUUUUCUUAUAUAUAAAAUCGAAAAUAGUAUUUAAUUCAUAUUUUAUUAAAAAAUAAUAUUUUUGAAAGAGAUUCUUUUAAUAUUUUUAAAAAACUAGAAUUAAAAAUACAAGUUACACAAGAGUUGGAGAUAAAAAAUGGUGAUUGAAAUUUUCGGAGGAUUAAAAAUAAAAACUUAAAAAAUAUUAAAACAAAAAAUUGAUAUAAAUAAACAUAUUUAAUCUUAAAAUAAAAUUAUCAACAAACAAAAUAAAACCUUAUUUUAUGUCAAUUUGUUCUGUUUGCCAAGCUGUUCACGAAUCUUCAAAGUCCAAAUAAAGUUUCCCACCUCUCUAUAAUUUCUUCUCUUUGUCAAAAUUUUCAUCAUUCUCUCGCUGCAUUCUUCCUCUUUAAUCAGGUUCCUCUCUUUUUCCUCUUCUCAAUUUUCUCCUUUUCUCUUUAAUUCGUUAAUUUAAUUAUUUAUGUUUCUGUUUUCAAUUUUCUAGGGUUUUUCAUCGACUCUCAUCUCCCUUCGUUGUUGAAGAAUCAAUCAUCAAUCAUGACUCAUAUCCUUUUAAUUUUCCUUUAAUUCUUCAUUAAUUCUCGUUAAUUUAGGGUUAAUUUGACUUUUAGUUUUUGAAUCUUAUGAACUUUGCUUGAUUUCAAAGCUUUCAAUUUAUUGGGAAAAAAAUUUGUACUUUUUUUCCUUUGCAACAAUAAAAAAAAGUUUUUUUUUUUUUUUUUUUGAGGUUUGUUUUUUAUUUUUGAGGGAUUUUUUUGGGGUUUUUGAUUUGAAUCUAUUAUGGGUAUUGUUCGGAUUUAACUUUCAAGCUAACGCGGUAACCAGAGAGAGAAAGAUCGUGAAAGGGCUGCAGCUAGAGUUGGUGGUUCUAAAGGAAAGCCUGGAAAGAAUGAUGGGUUGACCCCUGAACAACGUAGAGAAAGGUUGUGUUAAUCUAUUUUUGUCAAGUACAUUUUCUAAGCACCGACACUUCUUAUCGAAGCUUCUCACACAAUACCGAUAAGACACCAACACAUUUGAUUGGAUUGAAUCUAGUCCCUUUCUGAAGUUAUUAUCGGUGUCUUGACUUUAUUAUCUUUAUUUAGAUAUUUUAGUUAAAUGUUUUAAUAUUAACUUUGUUUUUUCCUUUUUGUGUAGGGAUGCAAAGGCACUGCAGGAGAAAACAGCUAAGAAAGCAGGUCAGGAUGCAGGAGGGAAUAAUGCUGGUGGAAGCAAAAAAUAGGCAAUGAUUUGAUUAUUAUUAUUAUUAUUAUUGAUAAGGUGUUGUUGGUUUUAGACAUUUGUGGAAAAUUGAAAAUAUCUGUAUUUCAUAU